rnacentral:lncRNA from 1 species
GUGGGGGAGACUUGUACUUGUAAGGAUGCUUUGGAGGUGAUGGUGGUGGUGGUGGUGGAGACUUGUACUUAUAAGGAUGCUUUGGUGGUGAUGGUGGUGGAGGUGGUGGGGACUUGUACUUGUAAGGGUGCUUGGGUGGUGAUGGUGGUGGAGGUGGUGGAGACUUGUACUUGUAAGGGUGCUUGGGUGGUGAUGGUGGUGGAGGUGGUGGAGACUUAUACUUGUAAACUGGAGAUGGUGGGGGUGGAGACUUGUACUUGUAAGGGUGCUUGGGUGGUGAUGGUGGUGGUGGUGGGGACUUGUACUUGUAAGGAUGCUUGGGUGGUGAUGGUGGUGGAGGUGGAGGAGACUUGUACUUGUAAGGAUGCUUGGGUGGUGAUGGUGGAGGAGGUGGUGGAGACUUAUAGUUGUAAACAGGAGUUGGUGGGGGAGGAGAUUUGUACUUGUAAGGCUUCUUGUGUGGUGGUGGUGGUGGAGAGUAGACCGGAGGAGGCGGUGGUGGAGACUUGUAAUGGUAAGGUGGUGGUGGGUACUUCUUAGGUGGUGGUGGAGGAGAAGAAUAAGUGUAAUCUGCUGAGGUUUCAAAAGGCAAAUUGAGAGACACUGCUAAAACUAAAAGAGUGAGAAAGAGAGAGGUCAUUGAUGACCCCAUUUUCCCCAUCCUUACUUCUAAAAAUGGGUUUAAUUUGGUUAUGCUCUUAGCAGCCCUCUUCACUCCCUUUAUAUAGACUUUGUUUUAAAGUUACAAUCAUGAUAAAAGUGUGAAGGUGGACCGAACCUUCAGCAGCAUUGAAAAAAGACGUUACGUUUAGGUUAUUAGCAUGGUAUGACAUAAUAAUUCUCUAUUCUCUUCCUUGUCGUUUCCCAUAAAUUUAAUUUAAAUAGUCCAUUUGCUAUAUUUAUAUUUCUGUUUCUCUAUUAAAUAUUUAUCAAAUUCAUUUCUCACUCCUUAUAGAAUAUGAAUAAUUAAUCAUUAAACUCGAUUUAGUAAAUACUUUAAAAAAUGAUUUAUCUUAUUUUUAUGCUUUAAUUAAGGCAUCAAAUCAUUAAUCCCAUUUGAUAUUAUGAAAAUUUAUCACUUAAUUGAUCAAAAUGUGAUUCUUGGCAGGAAAACAUAAUUUACUUUCCUUAAAAUGUAAUUUUUAUUGAGAGUUAUUUUUCCACUAACAAUAGAAAGUGAUUCUCUUUAUAAUUCGUGAAAAAAUUACUUUCACAUGUAAAUAAAAAUUGUUAGGAUAAAAUUAACUUUUCUUUUAUUUAUGUUAAGGUUACUAAUUAACUUAUUCAACUUUAAUAAAAGAUAAACAUAGUUGUAGCUUGUUUGUUGAUGUUAGUUUUUUGUCUUUACAACUUCAAACCAUUAUUCUAGUGUAAUUUUUUUUUCUUUCUAAAUAGUAGAUAAGUAUCUAUAUUUUAUUUUGCUAUAAGAAAAUUAUAUUUUUUAGCAUACAAAACUUAAGAUAACUUGUAGAAUCAAGUAGUUGUAUACCUAUUACUCUAGCAAUAAUAAUAUUGACAUUGUCUACUUUCAAAUUAAAAUUUCAAAUUAGUUCAUUGCCCAAUUUUCUCAUUAAAAAAAAUUAUAUAUAACAUGUCAACUUAACGAAACUUACAUGAAAUUUUGUAUGUGUUAAAAAUGAAAAAUAUGGCGGUUAUUAAAAAAGAUGUCAUACAUCUAAAUCAAACUACUAAUUUAAAAAUUAGUAUUGAGAUAAUUUCAAGCCAUAUAUGCAAUAUUUGAGUAUACUUGAACUUAUACAUACAAAUUAGUGAGGAUUAAAAUUUUGUAAAUUGUACAUCUUCACAAUCUUGCGUUAAUAUACAAUUUUUUUAAUGUAUUAAUAUAAUGUUUUAGAUCAAGACGUGAAAAAACAUAAUUCAAAUAUUUGUUAAUAGUAAAAAAUUAUUAAUAAAUAUUUAAUUCAAAAUUUAUUAAUAAUAAAAAUUAUUGAAAAAUAUUAAAUACGUUAAUAUUAUUUUUAUUUAAUAAUGAUACUUUUGUACAGUAAUCUUAUAUUCCCAAAUAAGUGUUAAAUGUGUCAAGAUUUUAAUCAAUACUUUCCGGUGAUUACCAAACGUUGUGAAGUAACUUCUUAAACAAUAAUAUUCUUAUCAAUCACAUUCCAUUAAAAUUUUAACAUAGAAAAGCACCAAAACGCCCCCUUAAAAUCGUGGUAAGUCUUGUUUGUCUAAAAUUUAAAUAUUUAUUUUAUUAUUUAAAAUAUAUUAAUUUUCUAAAAAAAAUCAUUAAUAUUUAUAUUUCUAAUUUUAAACAUUCUUUUGUUAAUUAAAUGAUAGUCUAAACGGUUAAACUCAAAUCGAAAGCAUUUUAUCUUAUAUUAGAUUAUAUGAAUCAUAUUAUGGUUGAAAGUAAAAUGUAUAAAAUCAAUACAAACAUCAAAUAUUAAACUUCCACUCAAUAGAUUUUAAAAUUUCUAAUUUUAUCACUAAUCUAUUUUAAGAUUUUUUUAAAAAAAAUCGUACUUUAGAUUAUCUAAUUUAAAAUUUUAUAAAAUUAUUAAAAAAUAUUCUUGUAAUAAAAAAAAUUUGUUUUAAAAUUUUUAAUUUUUUAUAUAACCAAUGAAUUUUUUACGUUUGUUUUAACUGGUUAUCUAAACAAAAUAAAAACUUAUUUAGUUUAAAUAAAGUGGUAAAUGUGAAAGCACCACAAAUCACAACUACAUUAGUUUUAUAAUUGGAUUAAUUUAAUCACCGGCAGAGGAAAUGUGUUAGUUCUAGCUACCAACAAUUCAUUUUAAUUCCUUUAAAAAUAUUAGAAAAAACCAAUUUGAUUUUUAAUAAUAGAUCUAAUUACUUAAAGGAACAUGGGUGAUGUGCACAUGGCAUACAAGCAUAAAAAAGAACAAAAAGAUUAAGUAUCUUUGCAAAAUAUCUCUCUCUGAAAUAAAUAAAACUUAAAAAAAAACAAUUUUAUUAUCAAAAUAAAAAGAAAAUAGUGUUUUUCUUCACAAAAAAAGAAAAGAAAAGAAAUACUAGUGUUUUUAAUUAAAAUAGAGUGAUCUGGGUAGAAUCUUUUACUUAAAUACUGACAUUGACUUUAUAAGCUAUUUUUUAUCAAAAGAAGAAAGAGAAAAGCAUCCGAUUGAAGAUGUGAAUUAUUAAGUUAAAAUUAAUCAUACAUGUAAAAUAUUAUUGUGCUUUUUUCUAGCCCUCCGAAAGACAUUAUGCUUUGAUUACAACAUUCUUCCUCAGAGAUGAGGUUUGAAGAUGAACUCGGAUGCAUUUAGAUUUUUACAAGACGAAAGUAAAUUAAAGGAUGUUAGUACUUGUAUUCCGAUACGCUUAUAAUACAGAAAGCAAGUAAUAUGUGACUGUACAUAAUGGCUAUGAGGCGAGGAUAUGAUACGAGAAGAUAGAGAUGAGAGAUUGCACUUAAGGGGUUAGCACCUCUUUUCUUUUUGUGUUUGGUCCCCAAAGCAUAUCUCUUAUUGGCUGAUGUUGCAAGGCGGUCCCAUAAGUUGGGCUAAAAGUGCUUGAUAGCUAGAAUUAAUAUUGUGGUAUAACAUAUGUCACCCCUAUAUUUGAAUAAGGUUACAAAGUGACUACUUGAAGAUUUAAAAAAGCAUGGAGAUAAUUUUGUUGCGAAAAUUAAAAGUAAGAGCUAAAUUGUUUGGCUUUAUUAGAGUAUAGACUCUGUUAGUCUAUUAUCAUUUUGUUAUAUAGGCUGGAAUAUUAUUAGUAAGCAGUUAGCAGCAGUUAGUCAUACAAGUAUAAAUUCUAUUCAUGUAUUGUUCAAAGAUAAGCUAAUAAUACCAGAAGAGAUUUAACAUGUUCAUUCUACUUUUUUUUGUUAUUCUUCAUAAUACAGUUGUUAACAUGGUCUCAGUCGCCAAAUUUCUUGGAGGUUGCUUCUAUUGUAGAUCCAUGGCCAAUUCCACUGAUUCUACCUUCGCUGGUCGUAGCAGUCCCUCAUUCUCAGUUCAUGUUUGGUUCAAUCGUUUCCUCGUCAUGGCACUGUGAAGUUAGAUGAAGGAAAUUUUGUACAAUGGCAACAGCAUAUCCAAUUGAUAAUUGAAGGAUAUGAACUCAUAAGAUUUUUAGAAGGGACGUUACCUGCUCCGCCUCGCUUUGUGUCAUCUCCGGAUGGAAACUUAGCUCUGACUCCCGAUGCAUCCCUGUUUGUUCAGCAAGAUAAGUUACUCGCUUAUUGGUUACUUUUUACGAUUAGUGCUCCUUUGUUUUCUUGUUUUACAACUGCUAAGACGGCGUGUGAGGUUUGGAGCACUGCGAAUUGCCUAUUUGCUGCUGCCACUAGAGCCAAGCUUUCGCGUAUUAAGCAUGAACUCCAGUCCAUCACGAAAGGCGUGAUGACUAUCAAAGAGUAUAUUGCUAAGAUUCAAAAUACUUGUGCGUUACUCGAGGAAUCUAGAUCAGUGGUUUUAAAGGCUGAAAAGGUAGAGAUCAUUCUUGCCGGCCUAUUGUCUGAUUAUGAUGUCGUUUUAACUCUGGCAUCGUUCUCAACUGAAACUUUUUCGUUAUAAAAGAUUGUUGAUAUGCUUCUGGAGUUCGAAAGCCAUCAGACUCAAGCGGUGAACGACGUACCUUUUCAUGCUCAUUUGGUAGAGGCCACUUCGGCGACAUCCGUGGAGGACUCCGUACGUGGUGGUCGUCCUCCUUCUGGUGCUCGUAGGCGCGACUUUCGAUCUCAGCUUCAGUGCCAGGACUAUGGUUGCUAUGGACAUUUGGUACAAUGCUGUUAUUAUCAGUUCAACCGCGACUACAGUGAUCUGUCUGUUUUGACCAUGGCGCGGGUUUCGCCUGUUCAUGCUGAUCACAAUUAGCAUAACGAUGUUUUUGGCGCAAGUGGUCUCUCGACUAGCUGGUUUUCAUCAACUUGUCCUGGUCCGGACCCGUUCGUGCCUGGACAGUAUGUCGAUUCUUUGGUGGUGACACCGGCGUAUUUCUCUUAUGGCUCAUCAUGGUGAGGGUGGCCACAUUUGCAAAACAAUGCCUCCCUUGUGCCAAGUUUGUUGAAUGUUAAGGUUUCUAACCCUUUUGCUCAUAAUUUUGACGAUGGGGCAGGCUAGGUGUUUGGGCUCGCUGUUGGACCAAGCUCAAAUUGUGGCCAAUUUGGUGGUCCUCACUUACCGCGGAGAAUGGGCCAGCACGUUAGGCCAUUUGCUAGUGUUCCUAGGCCGACUGGUUCAGGCCAAGAUUUUGGGCCAUAUGGAAUUCGUAGGCUAACCAGUGCUGGUCCUAACAUUGGACAGGGUUCACUUGGGCCAAAUGUUAAUUUUGUUAGACUUGAGGGCUCUUUUGGGCAUGGACAAGGACUUUGGCCCACCACUGGCAAUGUUUCAGUGCCAAAUAAUGGGUCAUGCGUUCCAUGGCGCACUAAACUGACGGCGCACAUUAUUGAUUGAUUUCUCACUGUGUGUUGGGUUGCCUCACAUUCUUGAUUUUCAUGUGUCUGAUAUUUUUACUACCUCUGGGUCCAAUGCUAACACGACUCCGUAUGGGUCUAAUUUUGAUAAUGAUAACUCUUACAUUCCUAUGCCUGUAGGGACCUUGUCCUGGUGUCUUAAUUCAGGGUCUAUACAUCAUGUCUAUCGAGAAGCCUCUACCUUGAACGAGUCUACGCCAUACUCAGGUACAUCUCCUCUCCUCAUGGAUGAUAUUACUCCUACAAAAAUAUCAUGUGUUGGAAACUCUAUCUUGCCUACGAAGACUAAGCUGUUUCAUCUAUCUAAUGUUUUGUGUGUGCCAAAUAUACGGAAGAAUCUGCUAUCUGUCUCUCAAUUUGCUAAUGACAAUAAUAUGGUCUUUGAAUUUCACCCGUCUUAUUGAGGACAUCCAGACUCAGGAAAUUUUGCUUCGGGGCCACACUCGUGAUGGGCUCUAUUAUUUUUCGUAGGUUACUCAUGUUCCGUCUGUCGUUGUUCCUUCUGUUCACAACACUGGGCUCCAGAGUCGCAAUGCCGGUGAUGAUGUUUUUACGUUAUGGCACUACAGACUUGGUCAUCCGUCUGCCUCGAUUGUUAAACUUGUUCUCGAUAAGUGUCAAGUUGUUUCAACUAAAAUGUACCUUGAAAAUAUUUGUAUUGCUUGUCAAAAGGGGAAGUCCCAUAAACUGUCUUUUUCAAGUUCUACUACUAAAUAUACGGAUUUGUUUGAAUUGGUUGUCUUUGACUUAUGUGGACUGGCAUCUGUUGUCUGUAGAAAUAAUCUGUAUCAUGUUUCGUUUAUCGACAUGUGUAGUUAUUUUACUUGGAUUUAUCUCAUUAAACGUAAUUCUAAGGAGGUUGAAUGUUUUCUUCAGUUUCAGAAAAUGGUCAAAACUCAGUUUGGGAAAGAUAUUAAAAAAAUUCAAAGUGAUUGGGGUGGUGAGUUUCUUGCCUUUACGUCAGUUCUGGCUAGUCAUGGGAUACUUCAUCACCUCUCCUGUCCAUAUACAUCCGAGUAGAACGAUGUAGCUGAACGAAAACAUCGACACAUUGUUGAGAUGAGUCUUAUUCUAUUGGCCAAAGCUAACCUAUCCAUGGAUUUCUGUGGUUUCGUAUUUUACAAUGCCAUUCAUCUCAUUAGUCUUCUACCGACCCUAGUUCUGAAAGGUCAGUCUCCAUAUCAGGUUCUUCAUGGUAGUGACCCUACAUAUGAUCAUUUACAAGUAUUUAAGUGUUGUUGAUUUUCGUACCUGCGUCUGUUUCUGCAACACAAGUUGGAUUUUCAUUCUCAGCCAUGCAUAUUUUUUAGGUAUAGUUCUCAACAUAAAGGCUAUCACUGCCUCACACCAAAUGGUAAGGUCAUUGUCUCUCGUCAUGUUGUGUUUGAUGAACGUUGGUUUUUCUUUUCUUCAAAUGCUGUGAACACCGUUCAGUUAAGUCCAUGUAUCUCUACAUAUGUUCCUAUUGUUCGGUCUUCAUCUUGCCGCCCCACGACAUCUUCGCUUGUUCGACCCACUGAGUCAUCGACUCUUGCUCCUAAUUGUAGUUCCACGCUGUCUGUUUCAGUUGACACUCCGGCUGAAUUAGGUUUUACUCAUGAGGUGCAUCGGCUCUCUACCUCAUCCCUUGAAUCUCGUCAAUGCGAUCCAACUACAAUUCCAUUGGCUGUUCCAUCUAUUUCUCUGGAAUACUCAUAACACUAUUACUCAGCUAGACCCAAAGCUCUGUCUGUUGAAAUUGUCAACUGUGAGUCGAUCACGAUUGAAGAGGCGCUCGCUAGUAAGGAAUGGCAAUUAGUUGUCCAAGCUGAGUUUGUUGCUAUAAUGGUUAACUCCACUUGGGAGCUUGUUCCCUUACCUCAUGGUCGAAAAGUGAUUAGGUGUAAGUGGCUUUUUAAAAUAAAAAAAUCCUGAUGGGACUAUCACUUGACGUAAGGCUCGGUUGGAAGCAAAGGGUUGUUCUCAGGUACUCAGGUGUGAUUUCAAGGAAACCUUUAGUUUGGUAGUUAAACCUGCUACUAUUAGAACCAUAUUAUCUGUUGCUAUCUCCAACGGUUGGCAAUUUGGUCAGGUAGAUGUGAACAAUGCUUUUUUAAAUGGUGAUCUUAUUGACGAAGUGUUCAUGCAGCAACCUCUAGGCUAUGUUCAGAUUGGUCAAAAUGGUGAGCCCUUGGUGUAUCAUUUGACAAAGGUGUUGUACAGAUUAAGACAAGCUCCACGUGCUUGGUUUGAUAAAUUGAAACGUUUUUUUGUUUCUAUUGGAUUUGCUUUAUCCAAAUCUGAUGUAUCCUUAUUUGUUCAAGUUAAUUCGAAUCCACUAUUUAUGUUUUAGUCUAUAUGGAUGAUAUUAUCGUUACUAGAAGUACGAUCGACGGUAUAAAUGGCUGUAUUCAAUAGUUACAUAAUGUGUUUCCCUUAAAGAUAUGGGAGAUCUUUACUACUUCUUAGGCAUUGAAGUCACUCGGUAGUCCACUGGGAGUCUCCAUUUGUGCCAACGCAAAUACAUUCGGGAUCUUCUUGACAGUAGUUUUUUAGCUAAUGCAAAGAGUGUUCACACACCGAUGGUUAGUUCUUUUACGUUGUUUAAAGAUGUGGGAGAUCGCCUCGUUGAUCCUACUGGAUAUAGAAGUCUUGUCGGUGUAUUACAAUAUGUGGUCUUGACUCUGCCUGAUAUUGCUUAUGCUAUAAAUCAUGUUUGUCAAUUCAUGCAUGCCCCUACUACAGUACAUUUGGUGGCUUUGAAAAGAAUCUUGCACUAUUUAUGUGACACUAUUAAUCAUGGGUUAAUUUUGUCUGUUCAACAUAUUGUCUUUAGUUGGCUAUGCUAAUGCCAACUGGGGACUGGAUUUUGAUGAUCGUAAAUCAACAACAAGCUAUUGUUUGUAUUUUGGGUAUACACCCAUCUCUUGGUGAUCUAAGAGACAACUCUACUGCGUGAGGCGAAGUAUUUUGGCCGCACCAUGGCUGAGGUGAAGUAUCGAAGUCUAGCAACAACUACCAGUGAUGUUACUUGGUUAGUCUCUCUACUAACAAAAUUACAGAUUCAUUCUAUAGAUCCACAUACUAUUUGGCGUGACAACUCUAAUGCAGUAGCGGUCAUUGCUAAUCCGGUCUGACACUCUAAAUUUAAACAUGCCAAGCUUGAUCUAUUUUUUGUUCGCGAAAAGGUCGCUAAUGGUUCUCUCGUUGUCGGUGAGAUUCUAGCAUGUGAUUAAGUUGCUGACAUUCUCACAAAACCACUGUUCGUCUCUACUUUUGCUAGGUUUCGUAGUCUGCUUCAAUUCUUACCUCUUGAGAAGCUGGGUGAAGCCAGGUGAAUAUUAGAGUAUAGACUCUGUUAGUCUGUUACCAUUUUGUUAUUCAGGCUGGAAUAUUGUUAGUAAGCAGUUAGUCAUAGCAGUUAGUCAUACAAUUAUAAAUUCUAUUCAUGUAUUGUUCAAAGGUAAGCUAAUAAUACCAAAAGAGAUUUAAUGUGCUCAUUCUACUUUCUUUGUUAUUCUUCAUAAUACAGUUGUUAACAUGCUUGAUAUCAUCUCUUAGAGAGAACGAGGAGAGAUAAGAGUAAGAGUAUGAGCCAACUAGGGAUAAGGCUCUACCAUAAUACCUUGGAUGCAAUUAAAGUAAGAGUAAGAGCCAACUUGUUUGGCUUGAUAGCAUCCCCUUAUAGAAAAGGCUCUACCGCAUGGCAUGAGAGCAAUAAAAGUAACACUCAAUUUCUUGGGUUGAUAGCAUCUCCUUAGGGAAAAGGGUUUACCAUGUGACAUGAAAGCAAUUAAAGUAAGAGUAAGAUCCAACUUGUUUGUCUUAAUAGCAUCAUUUAAGAGAAAUAUCCCAAUCAAUUUAUUCAAAUAUGUUAAUCAAAUAAUGCAAGUUACAAUGUUCUGUCAGUUUUUCCUUUAAUUGUAACUGGGUUAAAGUUGGUAGUUGUAACUGCUACUAAUAGAAUGGAUACGGUAGAAAUGGUUGCAAGCAACAUAAGCAAAGAUGACUUUAAUGUCUUUGUAUUGACCACGUGAGAACUAUAGAAUGCAGAGAAUAGUAUGGUGAUUGGCAACAGAAUGCUACUAACCUUGAGGAUAGUAGACAGGGAUGGAUCCACGGGGGUUGGGGGCGGUCCCCCCUUGGAAUUUUUAAAAUUUUAAAUUUUAUAUAUAAAUUAUCAUGUAUUUUAAAUUUGGUGUCCACAUUGUAUAGCAUUCACCCCCCUUUUCCAAAUUGCAUUUCAUAUCAUUUGCCCUCUUAAGCCAUAAGGUUAUACUUUAUAUUAACAAAGUAUUUUCCAUUUUUUAAUUAUAUAAAUUUAAUAAUAAUAAUAAUAAUCAAAUAUUAAUAUAUGAUUGGCAUUGAAAGACUAAACAUAAAGGUCCAGUUGAGACUUUAAAGCCAAAUUCCAUAAUUAAUUAAUUGAUUUGGCCCAUACCAGUACAUAUUAGGUUAGCGAAAUUCUUGUAUUUUGAUUUGUAUGUCUUGCUAAGGAAUUAUCUUCCUUUGGUAAGGUGUUGACACUGCCAAGAGAAAAAGAAAGGAUUUUGAUGUCGAGAUUGUGAGCAUAGAGUAAAAAAAAUACAAAUUAUCUUCCUCUUAGCUCCUUAUGGAAAAAACCUCUCGGUAAAUAUUUUUGCAUAAAUUAUGUUUUUUAUUAAUUUGACUUAGUUUUUUUCUUUUUUCCUAAUACAUUGUUGUUUAAUAUAUUCUUACAAUCAUCAGGUUUUUUGACUAAAUUAUGGUCAAUAAAAACAUCGAAUCUAUUUAAAAAAAAAGAGUGUCAGAAAGCAAUAAUGAUCAACCGGUUCCUCAACCUUCCAUUAUUAGUGAAGAAAAAUCAAAUAUCGGAUCUUCCAAAGCUCUUGAACAAAAUAUCAGGUCUUCUUAAGCCCAAGCUCCUAAAUGCGGUAUGGAGUCUUCCCCAACUCCUGAACGAGAUUGUAACAAUCCAUACCCAAUUCGAUCACCAAAUCCAAGUAGAGAGCGCCGCAACUUAAACCAUAUGAAUUGAAUAAUAAAUAUUUGAAAUUUAUUAAAGUAUCGAGUUCUUGGUGUAACCCUCAGUAUAACAAUACGAAACAAUUAAAUCAAUGAUACGCCAGGAAAAAAUGUUUUUAGGCAAAACACAUGGCGGAAGCCUUACAAAAUUUUAUAAGUUUAUAUAAAAUGUAAGAUGAGUUAAUCCCAUACAACAGUUUCAAGUGCAUCGUUGGCGGUUAAAAGAACAUUCAAAAACUAUUCGGCGUAUAUGCCAAUGAGACAAUCACGUGGAACAAGAUAUAGUAGCUUAAACACAUACAUCACUUACCACGUCAUCAUAACAUAUACUAACCAUAUAAACAAACUUAUCGAGCUGCGAACUAACAAGUUCACCCAAACAUCUAGGGUUAGCGAUAACUUAUUAGAAGAGCCCGCCAAACCCUAGAGUUCGCCAAAACCUGGAGUUCACCAAAUGGCGACUCCCAUAGAAUACGCCAAACACACAACCAAAAAUAAAUACUCUACUAAUUUACUCAUUUUAUAUUCUUAGCAUAAACAACUAUGCACCAAACAGUAACUUGAUACAUUAUCUUUCGGGCGAGUUGUUACAAUUCUCCCCCAUUUAGAAACUUUUGUCCUUGAAAUUCUUACCGGUGAAUAACUGAGGAUAUUGUUCUUUCAUCGAACUCUCUCUUUCCCAAAUGGCUUCUUUUGUAUUGUGAUUUAUCUAUAAUACAUUAACCAAAGGAAUUCUUUUACUUCUCAACUCUUUUACUUCCCUUGCUAAAAUACAAACAGGUUCUUCUUCAUAGGACAAGUUUUGCUCCACUUCCAGUGCUUUGACUUGUACCACAUAAUCUGGAUUGGAUUGAUAUUUUCUUAACAUAGAUAUAUUAAACACAUUAUGUAUAUUUGAUAACUCUGGUGGCAACACCAGUUUGUAUGCCACUGGACCAACUUAUUCCAAAAUCUCAUAUGGUUCUAUGAAAUGCAGACUUAAUUUCCCUUUUUGUUCAAACCUUAUGAUCUUCUUCCAAAGAGAAAACUUCAUAAAUGCAUUGUCACCCACUUCGAAAGAGAUUAUUUUCCUUUUUAGAUCAGCAUAAGCUUUCUGGCGAUCUUAAGUUACUUUCAGAUGAUUUCUAAUGAUAAAGACUUUCUCUUCUGUUUCUCAUACUAAAUCAAGACCAACUAUUUUCCUUUUACUGAGUCUCAUCCAAUAGGUAGGAGAUCUGCACCUUCGUCUAUACAAAGCUCCAAAUGGUAACAUUCCCAGACUGUCAUAAUAACUAUUAUUAUACGCAAACUCUAGCAAAGGAAGAUAUCUUUCUCAAUUCAUUCUAAAAUCUAUAAUACAACCUCUAAACAUGUCUUCUAGAACUUGAAAUACUCUUUCAAAUUGCUCAUCGAAUUAGGGAUGAAAGGUAGUACAGAAUCAUUAUUUCGUUCCCAACGAUUCUUGCAGUUGUCUCCAAAAUCUCAAUGUAAACAUUGGGUCUCGAUCUGAAACUAUGGAUGUUGGAAUCCCAUGAGGCGUACAACUUCAGAAACGUAGAGAUUAGCCAACUUUUCCAAUAAGUAAUUUGUGCGGACAAACAAGAUAUGGGCUAACUUAGUAAGUCGAUCUACAAUUACCUAGACUGAGUACUUCUUCGAAAGGAUGAGAGGGAGAGCCAAAACAAAAUCCAUGGUGAUCUUAUCCCACUUCCACAUAGAUAUCUCUAAAAGGUACAACUUGCCUAAGGGAACCUGAUGUUCUAUUUUAAUCUGCUGACAUGUCAAACAAAUGGAAAUGUACUUUGUUAUUUCUUUCUUCAUUUCAAGUCAGUAAUACAAACUUAUCAAAUUAUGAUACAUUUUAUGUAAAACUCUCAACCCAACUCGAAAUGUCGAGUCUGGAUCUCGGGUAUUACUAUACAUAAUACUUGGCAAAAUAUCAAAAUAGUUGACAAAUACUCUUUAUAGAAAACAUUUUCUUAUUAUUUUAACCAAAAGACUAAAUAUUUAAUAACAAGAGAAAAUAUUAAAAACAAAAAAAAAUUAUUACAUCAGACUUGGUACAACUCAUUAUAGUAUAAAAUUUUGUUAAAGACAUACUCUUGGGGCAUAACCCUAAUCUAAGCCACUUUUCCACUAUAUGCAUAAUAACCCACUUCGCCACUAUCUUGGCGUACUCCUAGCAUCGUCACUCCUAAUGCAUUCUCUACCCAUACACCUGAAAACAACAACAUUUUAAGCUUAAGAUAACUUAGUGACUUUUAUCCCAAAAAUACCUUGGCGAGUACUUUAUAUUAUUUGAAGAACAUUUGUGCGCCAUCUAUCCUUCUGAACCACCUUCUUCUGAAUUAAGUGGAUACUAUUAUAGAUUCAACUUUCACUUACACGCCAACUAUCAUACUCUUAACAAACUCACUUAUUCUAGAAUAGUUGUUCACAUAUAUUAAUCACUAAUUGAUACAUUCAUAUUUGGCGAAUACUUACGCAGAUCUGAAUACCAUCAAACUACUAAUCAAAUCAUACCUUGAUCCGAUACCAUACAAACUCAUACUGAUAAUGUACUACACAAAUUAUUCAAAUGAAUUUUCCACUACUUUGUUACAGGACCCCAGAUAAUCAUCAUAACAAUAACUCAAUUUUCAUAUGAUUUCAGAAGAAGAUAUAAUACAACCCAAAUACGGCAAAUUCCAGAUAACUCAGAUUCAACAACUGCUUAACACAUACGAACUCACAUUUAUAAUUUCUUAUGUCCCACAUAACUACGACUAUGUCUAUAUUCAACACUAACAAAUAAUCAUGACGGAUACCCUUCUUAUACAUAUAUGCAUUUCUUUUCUAGAAAUCUCUUAAGACUUACUCAAUUAUAUCACAUAUCUUAUUCAACCCUUAACUUUAGACAUAUCAUAACCCUAUCAUAUCAAUAUCUAUCACAAAAAAAAUCAGGAUUUAUCCAAAACUUACCAUAAAGGUAGAUAAUCAUAUUAUAUCAGACAAACUUAACUAAAUGUGCCACAAAGGCCAAACAAAAUAUGCCUUAAAGGCUUCAUACAAAAUCACGUGUUUACUAUCCCGACGGACUAUCACAAAAGGUGUCAUGGGUUUCUCCCACAUGGACUUAUACAUAAUUUCAUGUAUUGUGAUCUGCCAUUUUGAAUCAUACGUUAUCGAAGGAUACUCCAUAAGCAUACAUACAGACAUAUCUUGCCAUGUGUCUCAGCCACAUGGCUUAAACACACAUUCAUGUACUGUGAUAUGUCAAUCCAGUCUUACUCUUAUUAGAGCCUACACCAUGAGUGUUUUCAAAUCAUAUUAAGAUGUUGUAGGUCUCAACCUCAUAGUCUUACACUUGUUUUCAUAUCGUGACCUGCCAGUCUAGUUAGCAAUAUAAUUGCCUACCAGAGGCUUCAUAGAGGAACAUUUGCUUAGAUUCACUUACCUAGAUGAUCUGUAACACCCCUUACCCGAGACCGUUGUCAGAGUCGAGCACGAGGUAUUACUUAUCUUAUCUUACUAACUCGAAGCAUAAAAACUUGUUUUAAAAAUUAAUUUCACUAUUUAUAGCAAUUUGUCCAAUCGCGCAGCAGUUACUAAAUUAAUUAUAACUCGAGAUACGGAACUUGAAAUUUAACUCCGUAAAUUUUCCCUGAAACUAGACUCAUAUAUCUUCCUACCAUAAAAAUUUUAGGAUUUUUAGUUUAUCAAAUUAGUACAGUUUAUUAGUUAAAUUCUCCCCUGUUUCACAAAUCGACUGCCCUGACCUCUUAUCACUAAAAAUAAAAUGUAUCAUUGUGGGAUUUUCGUAUAGUGCUACCGCUUGCUUCUACAGAAAAUAGACUCAAUAAGGAAUCUAUACAUAUAAACUACAACUCAUAAAUAUUUUUUUAAAAUUUUUAAUGAUUUUAUAAACUCAAAACAGGGGUCACCAAAAACUGUUCUAACCCUGUCUCACCAAAAUUCACAUAUCUUAAAAUAUAAAUUCCUUUUGCUACACCGUUAUUUUUAUGUGAAAAUAGACUCAACAAGAUUUAUGUCAUUCAAUAUUUAAUUCAUUUUAUACUAUCCUAGGUGAUUUUUCAAAGUCACGUCACUGUUGCUGCCUGAAUUCUGUUUCUUUGCAAAAUUUUACCCUUUUAUGAUUUCCAUGCAUAGUUUAUCACUUAGACUCUUAUAACAACAAACACUUCCAUACUUAACCAUUUUAGCAACCAUUCAUCAUCAAAUACUUACACAUCAUUCUUUAGCAAGAUCAUAAAUACAAACAUUUAAAAUAACUAAAUCCCUUUACAUUCCAUACUCAACAUGGUUCAACAUAAAAAUACCGAGUUGCUGUGGUUGAUAGUGUGGACGAUCUCCGACUUCUUUAGGAUCCUUGAAGUAACCUUGCAAUACUAUAAGAGAAAGAGAAAUAAAAGACGUAAGCAUAAAGCUUAGUAAGUUUACUAGCAAAUAAAUAACAAUAUUUAACUAGAUAAUUAAACUCAAGUGUCUAUAUCUCUAGUUUACUAUUUAGUUAAUCUCAUUCUAGUUCUCUUGCUUGUUUACUUAGUAUACUUGUGUGCAUAACUUACUCCUCUCUUGCUGUAUAGUUGAAUAUCAAUUGAUAAUAUAAUAAGUUAUUAACUCUUAUAACUUACCUGAACUUGCCAUUUAUGUUUUUAACUGAACUUUCCUGAACAUGAUUCGUUAUUUAGCCCGUUGAGCUACAUUGGAACAAUAAGGAUACUCGGGUCUCUUCUGAUAAUAACAUGCCAAAGCCAUGUCCCAGACAUGGUCUUACAUGGGAUGUACUCAUGUCGGUGCCCAUUCCAUAUCCCAGACAUGGUCUUACGGGGGACCUCUCAUCUCGGUGCCAAUGCCAUGUCCCAGACAUGGUCUUACAUGGGACCUCUCAUCUCGGUGCCAACGCCAUGUCCCAGACAUGGUCUUACAUGGGACCUCUCAUCUCGGUGCCAACGCCAUGUCCCAGACAUGGUCUUACAUGGGACCUCUUUACCCAAAUGUCAUGACAUUCGUAUCCAGUACCAUCCUUACUAUUCAUGACAACCGAUAUAUAUAUAUACAUACUCACUAUUCACAAGGACUCGAACGAUUAUAUACUCAUCAACCACCUUAAAACAAUGUUCAUAAACUUAUCCAUUUCAUAUAAACAAAAGCAUAUAUAUUUAUAACCAAUGCAUAGAAUCACUUAAUUUAAACAGAUUCACUGGCACUUCACCUGAUAGGCUUAUAGUUUAAUUCAGUUCACCGGCACUUAGCCUACUAGGCUUGUAGCCUGAUUCAGUUCACCGGCACUUAGCCUGCUAGACGUAUAGUCCGAUUCAAUUCACCGGCAUUUAGCCUGCUAGACGUAUAGUCUGAUUCAAUUUACCGGCACUUAGCCUGCUAGACGUAUAGUCUGAAUAAUUUUACUGGUAAUAAAUCCGAUAGUAAUUUCUCCGUUGAAAUUGAAUUAUAUUCAAUUCUGCGUAACAAACAUGCACUUAAAACAUACUUGCAUAAUUCACAACAAUAAUUUCAGUCCAAAGAGCUGUAAUUCAUAUUCGAACUAUAUAUAUAUAAAUCCAUACAUAAAAAUUCAACUCAAAAUUUAUAACCUAUAUCUUUGAACCACAUAGGUACAUGAAAUUCAAACACCAAAAUCCAGCUCAAUAACUUCAUGAUUCAACCUAACAAAUUUAUGUAUAUAACUUUUUAUCUAAUUUCAAUACAAUAACUUAUACAUGUACGUAUAUACAUAUUCGAAUCUAACAUAUACAUAUAUAAUUUCAUACUUAAAUAUAUUCAAGACUUAUUCAUGAGUAUACAUAUAUAUUACAACUCACAUGUACAUAUAUAUACACAUUCAUACCUUUAACCAAGUCCAAGGCUUUAUACAUGUAUAUGCUUAUAUAUAUAUAUUCGGACCUUAUGUUUACAUAUAUAUAUUAUAUAAAUACCUUUGAUUAAAAACAAGUAUUUAUACAUAUAUAUAUUUUCGAACAUGAUACAUAUAUAUUUAUAUCAUUCAUACUUAAACAAAAUUCAAUCCAUAUACUUUCAAUUUCAGCUCACCAAAUUACUAUAGAUAUACAUGCAUAUAUACUGAUUUAAUAACCUCAAAUUGCUAAUAGACUUACCUCGGAUAUCAGCGGACACGAUCGAGUAUUCGAUUACUUUCGUUUUUCCCCGAUCCAAAUUCGUUUUCUUCGUUUUUUAUCUUAAUUAGACCUAGAGAUAGCCGAACCUUGUUGUUCUCUUUUCUUUUCUUUUCUUUUUCUUUUCUAUAUUCGGCCAAGAUGAAGAACAUGGCAUUUAAAAUUUGUUAUAUUAAACAUAUAUUAGCCUUAUUUUUAAUUUACUAUAUUAACCUUUACAUAUAUAUAACAUAUAUAAUAAGGUUACAUUAGUCCUUUGCCACCCACUAACUUACAUAGUGGACUAAUUGCAUAGUAAAACCUCUAAAUUAUAAAGACAACAAGAAUUAGGUCCUUUUAUAAUUAACCCCUAAAUUUUCAUUUUACGCGAUUAAGCCCUUUUAUUAAAUCGGACACUUAAACGACGAAAUUAAAACACGAAAAUUUCACACAAUCAAAUGCAUACAAAACAAUAUUAAUAAUAUUUUUCUAAUUCAAAUUUGUGGUCCCGAAACCAGUAUUCUGAUUAGGGUCAAAAACCGGGUUGUUACAACUCUCCCCCCUUAGGGAUUUUCGUCCCCGAAAAUCUUACCGGUGAAUAGGUUUGGAUAACGCUCUUUCAUUGUAUCUUCUAACUCCCAAGUUGCUUCUUCAACCCCAUGUUUAUGCCACAACACUUUAACUAACGGAAUUUUCUUAUUUCGUAAUUCUUUGAUCUCACGAGCCAGAAUGCUAAUCGGUUCUUCCUCAUAUGUCAUAUCAGAGUUAAUUUCAAUCUCCGUCGGACUAAUCACAUGUGAAGGAUCAGAUCGGUAUCUACGAAGCAUCGAAACAUGGAAUACGUUAUGAAUCUUUUCUAACUCAGGCAGUAACAUCAAUCUAUAAGCAACCAAUCCAACUCGCUCUAUAAUCUCAUACGGUCCAAUGAAUCUCGGACACAAUUUGCCUUUACGACCAAAUCUGAGUAUUUUCUUCCACGGUGAGACUUUUAAAAACACUUUAUCCCCGAUCUGAAAUUCUAUAUCCUUUCUUUUCAAAUUCGCAUAAGAUUUCUGACGAUCCGAUGCUGAUUUCAGACUGUCCCGAAUCACUUUCACUUUCUGUUCGGUCUCUUUAAUCAAAUCAACCCCGUGUAUCUUAUUUUCACUGAGCUCGGUCCAAUACAGUGGUGUACGACAUUUACAACCGUACAAAGCCUCAUAAGGUGCCAUUUUGAUACUAGAUUGAAAGCUAUUAUUAUAAGCAAAUUCAAUCAAAGGUAAGUAUCGUUCCCACGUACCUUCAAACUCGAGAAUGCAACAUCUCAACAUAUCCUCAAGUAUCUGAAUGAUUCAUUCAGAUUGACCAUCUGUCUGCGGAUCGAAAGCUGUGCUAAAAUGUAGUUUCGUACCUAAAGCAUCUUGUAGUUUCUUCCAAAAUCGCGAUGUGAAUCUCAGAUCUCUGUCUGAAACAAUAGAAAUAGGUACACCAUGCAACCUCACAAUUUGUGAAAUAUACAAUUCCGCAAGUUUAUCGAGCGAAAAAUCUGUACGAAUCGAAAUAAAAUGUGUCGAUUUUGUCAACCUAUCAACAAUAACCCAGAUUGCAUCUAUCUUGCUCGGUGUCAACGGUAAAUCGGAUACAAAAUCCAUCGUGACUCGAUCCCAUUUCCAUUGAGGUAUCAUGAUCGGCUGAAGCAACCCAGAUGGUACCUGAUGCUUGGCUUUAACUUGCUGACAAAUUAAACAUUUCGAAACAAAGUCAGAAAUGUCUCGUUUCAUACCUUGCCACCAAUAGUGCUGUUUCAGAUCGUUAUACAUUUUCGUGCUACCCGGAUGAACAGAAAAUCGACUACUAUGAGCUUCCUUCAAAAUCAUCUAAAUUAACUCUGAUUUUUUCGGAACACAUAAUCGGUUUCUAAAUCUCAAACAAUCCUCAGCAUCAACUAAAAACUCCGAAUCAAUAUUUAAGUCACAUUGAGCUCGUUUUGCAGUUAAAUCAUUAUCGACCUUUUGAGCUUCACAAAUCUGUUGUACAAAUAACGGUUUUGCUUUCAACUCAGCUACUAUCGCACCAUCAUCAGACAUAACCAUAUGUGCGUUCAUUGCACGCAAAGCAAACAGUGAUUUUCGACUUAGGGCAUCAGCAACAACAUUAGCCUUUCCCGGAUGAUAGUCAAUCACAAGCUCGUAUUCUUUCAGCAAUUCUAACCAUCGACGCUGUCUCAAAUUCAGAUAUUUCUGAGUCAUCAAAUAUUUCAGGCUUUUGGGAUCGGAAUAAACAUGACAUCUUUCACCAAACAGAUAGUGACGCCAUAUUUUUAACGCAAAUACAAUAGCGGCCAAUUCCAGAUCAUGUGUCGGAUAGUUUUUUUCAUGCGGCUUUAACUGUCUCAAGGCAUAGGCUACAACUUUGCCUUCCUACAUCAAAACACAACCCAAACCAUUUAAAGAUGCAUCACUAUAGAUAACAAACUCUUUACCCGAUUCGGGUUGAACUAAGACUGGAGCUUCGGUCAAAAGAACUUUCAACUGAUCAAAGUUUUUCUGACACUUUUCUGACCACUCGAACUUAACGUCUUUUUGUAGUAGCUUUGUCAUCGGGGUCGCAAUCAUAGAAAACCCUUUCACGAACCGUCUAUAAUAACCAGCGAGCCCCAGAAAGCUUCGAACAUCAGAGACAUUUCUCGGAGGUUUCCAAUCAAGUAUAGCUGAAAUUUUACCUGGAUCAACUCGAAUACCCGAUGCUGACACAACAUGGCCCAGAAAACUAACUUCACGUAACCAGAACUCGCAUUUACUGAACUUUGCAUACAACUGUUUAUCUCGCAAAGUUUGUAACACAAGUCUCAGAUGUUCAGUAUGCUCGGUUUCAUCACGAGAGUAGAUCAAAAUAUCAUCUAUAAAUACUACCACAAAUCGAUCCAGAUACUGUCUAAAAAUCUGAUUCAUCAAAUCCAUGAAAACAGCAGGUGCAUUAGUAAGUCCAAAAGGCAUAACCAAGAACUCAUAAUGUCCGUACCUCGUUCGGAAAGCUGUCUUUGGCACAUCAGAGUCUUUAACUCGCAACUGAUAGUAGCCUGAUCUCAGAUCUAUCUUCGAAAACACAGUAGCCCCUUUCAACUGAUCGAACAAAUCAUCAAUCCGUGGUAACGGAUACUUAUUCUUUAUAGUCACCUUAUUGAGUUGCCGGUAAUCAAUGCACAUUCUCAUUGUUCUGUCUUUCUUUUUCACAAAUAGAACUGGUGCACCCCAAGGAGAGAAACUCGGUCGUGUAAAACCUUUAUCAGUCAACUCUUGCAACUGUACUUUCAAUUCUUUUAAUUCGGUCGGUACCAUACGGUACGGAGCUAUCGAAAUUGGAGUUGUCCCUGGUACUAACUCAAUACCAAACUCUACCUCUCGAAUAGGUGGCAAACCCGGUAAUUCUUCGGGAAACACGUCUGAAUACUUACACACUACUGGCACAGAUUCAAUCUUCUUUUCGGUCACUUUACUAUCAAGAAAAAAUGCAAGGUAAUCUUCACAACCUUUUCUCACAUACUUCUGAGCCGACAUCGAGGAUAUUAUUGCUGGUAAACCAUUCAGAUCAUUAGAUUCAAUCCGAAUAAUCUCAUCAUUCUGACACCGUAGAUCAAUAGUUUUCCGUUUGCAGUUUACUAUAGCAUUAUGCAGAGUUAACCAAUCCAUACCCAGAAUUAUAUCAAACUCGUCAAAUGGUAGCAACAUCAAAUCAGCCAGAAAACAUAAAUCUCGAAUCAUCAACGGACAAUUCUUGCACACUUUGUCAACCAAAACACACCGGCCCAAGAGGUUCAAUACUUUAAUUACAAACUCAGUAGACUCAACAGGCAAAGUCUUACUGAAUACUAAAGUCUCACACACAUAAGAAUGAGUCGAACCAAGAUCAAUCAAUGCAAUAACAUUAGUAUCAUAAAGAGUGAAAGUACCAGUAAUAACAUCUGGAGAAGAAGCCUCCUCCCGAGCACGGAUGGCAUAUGCUCUGGCAAGUGCACGAGCCUCAGAUCGAACUGCCAUGUCCUUUGUUCCUCUCUGACUGCCACUUACAUUACUCAAUUGCCUCGGCGGUCUACCUCGUACAGGUACUUUACUCGGUCUGGUAUUCUACACAGUGUUUUGCUCAGCUACCAUCGGACACUCUCGAAUGAAAUGAUCCUUUGAACCGCACUUAAAGCAAGACCGAUCAUGUAAUCUGCAAUCUCCAGGAUGCCAUUUCCCACAAUGCUUGUACUCUGAUCUAUUUUGUCGAACACUACCAACGCUAGCAACUGAAGUAGCUCGUGAACUCACAGGGGGUCGAUCUCGAUCAUACUUAGGAAACCCUGCAGUAGCUUUAGAUCGGCUAUGAUCCUCUCUGGAUUUCAUUGAGGUCGACUGGAAUGAUUUACUGAAUGAUCUUUUACGAGAAUCUCGAGCUUCAUAGCCAGCUUUCCUCUUCUCUUUACUGAGCUCCUUAACUUUACAAGGUCGUUCAACAAGUACUACGAACUCUUUUAUCUCAAGUAUACCAAAUAACAGUUUAAUAUCUUCAUCCAGCCCAUCUUCAAAUCUUUUACACAUGAUAGCUUCAGUCGAAAUACAUUCUCGAGCAUAUCUACUGAGUCUCACAAAUUUCCGCUCAUAUUCUAUCACUGUCAUACGACCCUGUUUCAAUUCAAGAAAUUCCUUAUGCUUCUGAUCAAUGAAUCUUUGGCUGAUGUAUUUCUUACAGAACUCAAUCUGAAAGAAUUCCCAGGUCACUCGCUCUUUCGGAACCACCGAUACUAGUGUAUUCCACCAGUGAUAUGCAGUGUCCCGUAGCAAAGAUAUGGCACAUUUCAAGUACUCAUCAGGGGUGCAAGAUAACUCAUCAAACACUCGAAUAGUAUUAUCAAGCCAGAAUUCAGCUUGCUCAGCAUCAUCAUCAUCAGUAGCUCUGAACUCUUCGACCCCGUGUUUUCAAAUUUAGUCAACAGGAGGCUUAAGUAAUCUCAUCGGAUCACUUACUUGAGGUAUAAUAGGAAUCGAAGGUGGAUUAGUCGGGGGUGGAGUUUGUUGUGCAACCGGAUUAGUUCGGACAUAUUGAGUAAACCAGUCAUUCAUCAUUUGGUAGAAGGCUUGUUUAGCCUCUCCCUCCUGGUUACUCGAGGUCGGUCGAGAAUCUACCAGCUCUGUCCCUUGUGUGGGAGCAGGCGCUAUACUCUCAACAUCAUCGACUACGGCUGGAUCGGGAUCCAUUACUAUACGAAAACACAUUUUUAGACAUCAGCAGUCAUCGCACUAUCUUGGUAUAAAAAUAUGGCAUGUAUAGCUAGACUCAUACAUGCUACAUUAGUCCAAGAAUCGAUUAAACCGUAGCUCUGAUACCAAUAAAAUGUAACACCCCUAACCCGUAUCCGUCGCCGAAUUAGGGUUACGAGGCAUUACUGAACAAAUACAACCAUUUUUAAAACCAACUGAUCACAAACAUGAAAAUUAAAUCAUUUUCACAUAGCUAUUUAUAAUUUACAAUCAACAUCUAACCAACAUCGUACUCAAACCUAUACAUGCCAUAAGAUCAAGUUCAAAUAUUUAACAAAAUACCAAAAGGGGUCGAAAGUGUGAUAGACUAUGCUGAUGAUCCCCGAGCUCGUAACGCAUCUCCAAAAUCUAUAAAAACAAAUGGACAAAAACAAUCAAAGUAAGCUUUUAUAGCUUAGUAAGUCUAUAGCAUAUCUAAAAUACAUAUAAAAGAAUCAUAUAAUUCUUAAAAUAAAUUUAUUGAAAUCACAAUUAUCAAUUAUAAUUACUAAUCGAACAUUGCUAUAUUAAGUCAUCUUGUUUAAAUCUAAAAGGAUGUGUAUUUAUCUAAUACACAUGAACGGACAAAUGUAUAUACAUUAUAUGCAUAUAAUCAAUUUACUAACAUAAUCAUUAAUUGCAUAUACGGAUUUCUAUAGUACUUAUUGUUCGCACUUAAUCGGAUCCAUUUAAAUAUAAUUGUUCAAAUACAUAUACCAAAAGCAUAAUAAUUUUAUACUUGAUCAACUAUAAGUGCCGAAUGCACAUAUACACCUAUACCCACCUAUGCCGAAUGCAUACAUAUAUACACAUAUAUAUAUAUCCAACAAUUUCGUGACAACCGAUAUAUAUAUACAUACUCACUAUUCACAAGGACUCGAACGAUUAUAUACUCAUCAACCACCUUAAAACAAUGUUCAUAAACUUAUCCAUUUCAUAUAAACAAAAGCAUAUAUAUUUAUACCCAAUGCAUAGAAUCACUUAAUUUAAACAGAUUCACUAGCACUUCACCUGAUAGGCUUAUAGUUUAAUUCAGUUCACCGGUACUUAGCCUACUAGGCUUGUAGCCUGAUUCAGUUCACCGGCACUUAGCCUGCUAGACGUAUAGUCCGAUUCAAUUCACCGGCAUUUAGCCUGCUAGACGUAUAGUCCGAUUCAAUUUAUCGGCACUUAGCCUGCUAGAUGUAUAGUCUGAAUAAUUUUACUGGUAAUAAAUCCGAUAGUCAUUUCUCCGUUGAAAUUGAAUUAUAUUCAAUUCUGCGUAACAAACAUGCACUUAAAACAUACUUGCAUAAUUCACAACAAUAAUUUCAGUCCAAAGAGCUGUAAUUCAUAUUCGAACUAUAUAUAUAAAUCCAUACAUAAAAAUUCAGCUCAAAAUUUAUAACCUAUAUCUUUGAACCACAUAGGUACAUGAAAUUCAAACAACAAAAUCCAGCUCAAUAACUUCAUGAUUCAACCUAACAAAUUUAUGUAUAUAACUUUUUAUCUAAUUUCAAUACAAUAACUUAUACAUGUACGUAUAUACAUAUUCGAAUCUAACAUAUACAUAUAUAAUUUCAUACUUAAAUAUAUUCAAGACUUAUUCAUGAGUAUACAUAUAUAUUACAACUCACAUGUACAUAUAUAUACACAUUCAUACCUUUAACCAAGUCCAAGGCUUUAUACAUGUAUAUGCUUAUAUAUAUAUAUAUUCGGACCUUAUGUUUACAUAUAUAUUAUAUAUAAAUACCUUUGAUUAAAAACAAGUAUUUAUACAUAUAUAUAUUUUUGAACAUGAUACAUAUAUAUAUUUAUAUCAUUCAUACUUAAACAAAAUUCAAUCCAUAUACUUUCAAUUUCAGCUCACCAAAUUACUAUAGAUAUACAUGCAUAUAUACUGAUUUAAUAACCUCAAAUUGCUAAUAGACUUACCUCGGAUAUCAGCGGACACGAUCGACUAUUCGAUUACUUUCGUUUUUCCCCGAUCCAAAUUCGUUUUCUUCGUUUUUUUAUCUUAAUUAGACCUAGAGAUAGCCGAACCUUGUUGUUCUCUUUUCUUUUCUUUUCUUUUUCUUUUCUAUAUUCGGCCAAGAUGAAGAACAUGGCAUUUAAAAUUUGUUAUAUUAAACAUAUAUUAGCCUUAUUUUUAAUUUACUAUAUUAACCUUUACAUAUAUAUAUAACAUAUAUAAUAAGGUUACAUUAGUCCUUUGCCACCCACUAACUUACAUAGUGGACUAAUUGCAUAGUAAAACCUCUAAAUUAUAAAGACAACAACAAUUAGGUGCUUUUAUAAUUAACCCCUAAAUUUUCAUUUUACGCGAUUAAGCCCUUUUAUUAAAUCGGACACUUAAACGACGAAAUUAAAACACGAAAAUUUCACACAAUCAAAUGCAUACAAAAUAAUAUUAAUAAUAUUUUUCUAAUUCAAAUUUGUGGUCCCGAAACCAGUAUUCUGAUUAGGGUCAAAAACCGGGUUGUUACAACUCUCCCCCCUUAGAGAUUUUCGUCCCCGAAAAUCUUACCGGUGAAUAGGUUUGGAUAACGCUCUUUCAUUGUAUCUUCUGACUCCCAAGUUGCUUCUUCAACCCCAUGUUUAUGCCACAACACUUUAACUAACGGAAUUUUCUUAUUUCGUAAUUCUUUGAUCUCACGAGCAAGAAUGCUAAUCGGUUCUUCCUCAUAUGUCAUAUCAGAGUUAAUUUCAAUCUCCGUCGGACUAAUCACAUGUGAAGGAUCAGAUCGGUAUCUACGGAGCAUCGAAACAUGGAAUACGUUAUGAAUCUUUUCUAACUCAGGCAGUAACAUCAAUCUAUAAGCAACCAAUCCAACUCGCUCUAUAAUCUCAUACGGUCCAAUUAAUCUCGGACACAAUUUGCCUUUACGACCAAAUCUGAGUAUUUUCUUCCACGGUGAGACUUUUAACUUGCUCGGUGUCAACGGUAAAUCGGAUACAAAAUCCAUCGUGACUCGAUCCCAUUUCCAUUGAGGUAUCAUGAUCGGCUGAAGCAAUCCAGAUGGUACCUGAUGCUCGGCUUUAACUUGCUGACAAAUUAAACAUUUCGAAACAAAGUCAGAAAUGUCUCGUUUCAUACCUUGCCACCAAUAGUGCUGUUUUAGAUCGUUAUACAUUUUCGUGCUACCCGGAUGAACAGAAAAUCGAAUACUAUGAGCUUCCUUCAAAAUCAUCUGAAUUAACUCUGAAUUUUUCGGAACACAUAAUCGGUUUCUAAAUCUCAAACAAUCCUCAGCAUCAACUAAAAACUCCGAAUCAAUAUUUAAGUCACAUUGAGCUCGUUUUGCAGUUAAAUCAUUAUCAACCUUUUGAGCUUCACAAAUCUGUUGUACAAAUAACAGUUUUGCUUUCAACUCAGCUACUAUCGCACCAUCAUCAGACAUAACCAUAUGUGCGUUCAUUGCACGCAAAGCAAACAGUGAUUUUCGACUUAGGGCAUCAGCAACAACAUUAGCCUUUCCCGGAUGAUAGUCAAUCACAAGCUCGUAAUCUUUCAGCAAUUCUAACCAUCGACGCUGUCUCAAAUUCAGAUAUUUCUGAGUCAUCAAAUAUUUCAGGCUUUUGGGAUCGGAAUAAACAUGACAUCUUUCGCCAAACAGAUAGUGACGCCAUAUUUUUAACGCAAAUACAAUAGCGGCCAAUUCCAGAUCAUGCGUCGGAUAGUUUUUUUCAUGCGGCUUUAACUGUCUCAAGGCAUAGGCUACAACUUUGCCUUCCUACAUCAAAACACAACCCAAACCAUUUAAAGAUGCAUCACUAUAGAUAACAAACUCUUUACCCGAUUCGGGUUGAACUAGGACUGGAGCUUCGGUCAAAAGAACUUUCAACUGAUCAAAGUUUUUCUGACACUUUUCUGACCACUCGAACUUAACGUCUUUUUGUAGUAGCUUUGUCAUCGGGGUCGCAAUCAUAGAAAACCCUUUCACGAACCGUCUAUAAUAACCAGCGAGCCCCAGAAAGCUUCGAACAUCAGAGACAUUUCUCGGAGGUUUCCAAUCAAGUAUAGCUGAAAUUUUACUUGGAUCAACCUGAAUACCCGAUGCUGACACAACAUGGCCCAGAAAACUAACUUCACGUAACCAGAACUCGAAUUUACUGAACUUUGCAUACAACUGUUUAUCUCGCAAAGUUUGUAACACAAGUCUCAGAUGUUCAGUAUGCUCGGUUUCAUCACGAGAGUAGAUCAAAAUAUCAUCUAUAAAUACUACCACAAACAGAUCCAGAUACUGUCUAAAAAUCUGAUUCAUCAAAUCCAUGAAAACAGCAGGUGCAUUAGUAAGUCCAAAAGGCAUAACCAAGAACUCAUAAUGUCCGUACCUCGUUCGGAAAGCAGUCUUUGGCACAUCAGAGUCUUUAACUCGCAACUGAUAGUAGCCUGAUCUCAGAUCUAUCUUCGAAAACACAGUAGCCCCUUUCAACUGAUCGAACAAAUCAUCAAUCCGUGGUAACGGAUACUUAUUCUUUAUAGUCACCUUAUUGAGUUGCCGGUAAUCAAUGCACAUUCUCAUUGUUCCGUCUUUCUUUUUCACAAAUAGAACUGGUGCACCCCAAGGAGAGAAACUCGGUCGUGCAAAACCUUUAUCAGUCAACUCUUGCAACUGUACUUUCAAUUCUUUUAAUUCAGUCGGUGCCAUACGGUACGGAGCUAUCGAAAUUGGAGUUGUCCCUGGUACUAACUCAAUACCAAACUCUACCUCUCGAAUAGGUGGCAAACCCGGUAAUUCUUCGGGAAACACGUCUGAAUACUUACACACUACUGGCACAGAUUCAAUCUUCUUUUCGAUCACUUUACUAUCAAGAAAAAAUGCAAGGUAAUCUUCACAACCUUUUCUCACAUACUUUUUUGCCGACAUCGAGGAUAUUAUUGCUGGUAAACCAUUCAGAUCAUUAGAUUCAAUCCGAAUAAUCUCAUCAUUCUGACACCGUAGAUCAAUAGUUUUCCGUUUGCAGUUUACUAUAGCAUCAUGCAGAGUUAACCAAUCCAUACCCAGAAUUAUAUCAAACUCGUCAAAUGGUAGCAACAUCAAAUCAGCCAGAAAACAUAAAUCUCGAAUCAUCAACGGACAAUUCUUGCAUAUUUUGUCAACCAAAACACACCGGCCCAGGGGGUUCAAUACUUUAAUUACAAACUCAGUAGACUCAACAGGCAAAGUCUUACUGAAUACUAAAGUCUCACACACAUAAGAAUGAGUCGAACCAAGAUCAAUCAAUGCAAUAACAUUAGUAUCAUAAAGAGGGAAAGUACCAGUAAUAACAUCUGGAGAAGAAGCCUCCUCUUGAGCACGGAUGGCAUAUGCUCUGGCAAGUGCACGAGCCUCAGAUCGAACUGCCAUGUCCUUUGUUCCUCUCUGACUGCCACUUACAUUACUCAAUUGCCUCGGUGGUCUACCUCGUACUGGCACUUUACUCGGUCUGGUAUUCUGCACAGUGUUUUGCUCAGCUACCAUCGGACACUCUCGAAUGAAAUGAUCCUUUGAACCGCACUUAAAGCAAGACCGAUCAUGUAAUCUGCAAUCUCCAGGAUGCCAUUUCCCACAAUACUUGUACUCUGAUCUAUUUUGUCGAACACUACCAACGCUAGCAACUGAAGUAGCUCGUGAACUCACAGGGGGUCGAUCUCGAUCAUACUUAGGAAACCCUGCAGUAGCUUUAGAUCGGCUAUGAUCCUCUCUGGAUUUCAUUGAGGUCGACUGGAAUGAUUUACUGAAUAAUCUUUUACGAGAAUCUCGAGCUUCAUAGCCAGCUUUCCUCUUCUCUUUCCCGAGCUCCUCAACUUUACAAGGUCGUUCAACAAGUACUACGAACUCUUUUAUCUCAAGUAUACCAAAUAACAGUUUAAUAUCUUCAUCCAGCCCAUCUUCAAAUCUUUUACACAUGAUAGCUUCAGUCGAAAUACAUUCUCGAGCAUAUCUACUGAGUCUCACAAAUUUCCGCUCAUAUUCUAUCACUGUCAUACGACCCUGUUUCAAUUUAAGAAAUUACUUACGCUUCUGAUCAAUGAAUCUUUGGCUGAUGUAUUUCUUACAGAACUCAAUCUGAAAGAAUUCCCAGGUCACUCGCUCUUUCGGAACCACCGAUACUAGUGUAUUCCACCAGUGAUAUGCAGUGUCCCGUGGCAAAGAUAUGGCACAUUUCAAGUACUCAUCAGGGGUGCAAGAUAACUCAUCAAACACUCGAAUAGUAUUAUCAAGCCAGAAUUCAUCUCGCUCAGCAUCAUCAUCAUCAGUAGCUCUGAACUCUUCGACCCCGUGUUUUUGAAUUUUGUCAAUAGGAGGCUUAAGUAAUCUCAUCGGAUCACUUACUUGAGGUAUAACAGGAAUCGAAGGUGGAUUAGUCGGGGGUGGAGUUUGUUGUGCAACCGGAUUAGUUCGGACAUAUUGAGUAAACCAGUCAUUCAUCAUUUGGUAGAAGGCUUGUUUAGCCUCUCCCUCCUGGUUACUCGAGGUCGGUCGAGAAUCUACCGGCUCUGUCCCUUGUGUGGGAGCAGGCGCUAUACCCUCAACAUCAUCGACUACGGCUCGAUCGGGAUCCAUUACUAUACGAAAACACAUUUUUAGACAUCAGCAGUCAUCACACUAUCUUGGUAUAAAAAUAUGGCAUGUAUAGCUAGACUCAUACAUGCUACAUUAGUCCAAGAAUCGAUUAAACCGUAGCUCUGAUACCAAUAAAAUGUAACACCCCUAACCCGUAUCCGUCGCCGAAUUAGGGUUACGAGGCAUUACUGAACAAAUACAACCAUUUUUAAAACCAACUGAUCACAAACAUGAAAAUUAAAUCAUUUUCACAUAGCUAUUUAUAAUUUACAAUCAACAUCUAACCAACAUCGUACUCAAACCUAUACAUGCCAUAAGAUCAAGUUCAAAUAUUUAACAAAAUACCAAAAGGGGUCAAAAGUGUGAUAGACUAUGCUGAUGAUCCCCGAGCUCGUAACGCGUCUCCAAAAUCUAUAAAAACAAAUGGACAAAAACAAUCAAAGUAAGCUUUUAUAGCUUAGUAAGUCUAUAGCAUAUCUAAAAUACAUAUAAAAGAAUCAUAUAAUUCUUAAAAUAAAUUUAUUGAAAUCACAAUUAUCAAUUAUAAUUACUAAUCGAACAUUGCUAUAUUAAGUCAUCUUGUUUAAAUCUAAAAGGAUGUGUAUUUAUCUAAUACACAUGAACGGACAAAUGUAUAUACAUUAUAUGCAUAUAAUCAAUUUACUAACAUAAUCAUUAAUUGCAUAUACGGAUUUCUAUAGUACUUAUUGUUCGCACUUCAUCGGAUCCAUUUAAAUAUAAUUGUUCAAAUACAUAUACCAAAAGCAUAAUAAUUUUAUACUUGAUCAACUAUAAGUGCCGAAUGCACAUAUACACCUAUACCCACCUAUGCCGAAUGCAUACAUAUAUACACAUAUAUAUAUAUCCAACAAUUUCAUGACAACCGAUAUAUAUAUACAUACUCACUAUUCACAAGGACUCGAACGAUUAUAUACUCAUCAACCACCUUAAAACAAUGUUCAUAAACUUAUCCAUUUCAUAUAAACAAAAGCAUAUAUAUUUAUACCCAAUGCAUAGAAUCACUUAAUUUAAACAGAUUCACUGGCACUUCACCUGAUAGGCUUAUAGUUUAAUUCAGUUCACCGGCACUUAGCCUACUAGGCUUGUAGCCUGAUUCAGUUCACCGGCACUUAGCCUGCUAGACGUAUAGUCCGAUUCAAUUCACCGGCAUUUAGCCUGCUAGACGUAUAGUCCGAUUCAAUUUACCGGCACUUAGCCUGCUAGAUGUAUAGUCUGAAUAAUUUUACUGGUAAUAAAUCCGAUAGUCAUUUCUCCGUUGAAAUUGAAUUAUAUUCAAUUCUGCGUAACAAACAUGCACUUAAAACAUACUUGCAUAAUUCACAACAAUAAUUUCAGUCCAAAGAGCUGUAAUUCAUAUUCGAACUAUAUAUAUAUAAAUCCAUACAUAAAAAUUCAGCUCAAAAUUUAUAACCUAUAUCUUUGAACCACAUAGGUACAUGAAAUUCAAACAACAAAAUCCAGCUCAAUAACUUCAUGAUUCAACCUAACAAAUUUAUGUAUAUAACUUUUUAUCUAAUUUCAAUACAAUAACUUAUACAUGUACGUAUAUACAUAUUUGAAUCUAACAUAUACAUAUAUAAUUUCAUACUUAAAUAUAUUCAAGACUUAUUCAUGAGUAUACAUAUAUAUUACAACUCACAUGUACAUAUAUAUACACAUUCAUACCUUUAACCAAGUCCAAGGCUUUAUACAUGUAUAUGCUUAUAUAUAUAUAUAUUCGGACCUUAUGUUUACAUAUAUAUUAUAUAUAAAUACCUUUGAUUAAAAACAAGUAUUUAUACAUAUAUAUAUUUUCGAACAUGAUACAUACAUAUAUUUAUAUCAUUCAUACUUAAACAAAAUUCAAUCCAUAUACUUUCAAUUUCAGCUCACCAAAUUACUAUAGAUAUACAUGCAUAUAUACUGAUUUAAUAACCUCAAAUUGCUAAUAGACUUACCUCGGAUAUCAGCGGACACGAUCGACUAUUCGAUUACUUUCGUUUUUCCCCGAUCCAAAUUCGUUUUCUUCGUUUUUUUAUCUUAAUUAGACCUAGAGAUAGCCGAACCUUGUUGUUCUCUUUUCUUUUCUUUUCUUUUUCUUUUCUAUAUUCGGCCAAGAUGAAGAACAUGGCAUUUAAAAUUUGUUAUAUUAAACAUAUAUUAGCCUUAUUUUUAAUUUACUAUAUUAACCUUUACAUAUAUAUAACAUAUAUAAUAAGGUUACAUUAGUCCUUUGCCACCCACUAACUUACAUAGUGGACUAAUUGCAUAGUAAAACCUCUAAAUUAUAAAGACAACAACAAUUAGGUGCUUUUAUAAUUAACCCCUAAAUUUUCAUUUUACGCGAUUAAGCCCUUUUAUUAAAUCGGACACUUAAACAACGAAAUUAAAACACGAAAAUUUCACACAAUCAAAUGCAUACAAAAUAAUAUUAAUAAUAUUUUUCUAAUUCAAAUUUGUGGUCCCGAAACCAGUAUUCUGAUUAGGGUCAAAAACUGGGUUGUUACAACUCUCCCCCCUUAGGGAUUUUCGUCCCCGAAAAUCUUACCGGUGAAUAGGUUUGGAUAACGCUCUUUCAUUGUAUCUUCUGACUCCCAAGUUGCUUCUUCAACCCCAUGUUUAUGCCACAACACUUUAACUAACGGAAUUUUCUUAUUUCGUAAUUCUUUGAUCUCACGAGCCAGAAUGCUAAUCGGUUCUUCCUCAUAUGUCAUAUCAGAGUUAAUUUCAAUCUCCGUCGGACUAAUCACAUGUGAAGGAUCAGAUCGGUAUCCACAGAGCAUUGAAACAUGGAAUACGUUAUGAAUCUUUUCUAACUCAGGCAGUAACAUCAAUCUAUAACCAACCGAUCCAACUCGCUCUAUAAUCUCAUACGGUCCAAUGAAUCUCGGACUCAAUUUGCCUUUACGACCAAAUCUGAGUAUUUUCUUCCACGGUGAGACUUUUAAAAACACUUUAUCCCCGAUCUGAAAUUCUAUAUCCUUUCUUUUCAAAUCCGCAUAAGAUUUCUGACGAUCCGGUGCUGAUUUCAGACUGUCCCGAAUCACUUUCACUUUCUGUUCGGUCUCUUUAAUCAAAUCAACCCCGUGUAUCUUAUUUUCACUGAGCUCAGUCCAAUACAGUGGUGUACGACAUUUACGACCGUACAAAGCCUCAUAAGGUGCCAUUUUGAUACUAGAUUGAAAGCUAUUAUUAUAAGCAAAUUCAAUCAAAGGUAAGUAUCGUUCCCACGUACCUUCAAACUCGAGAAUGCAACAUCUCAACAUAUCCUCAAGUAUCUGAAUGAUUCGUUCAGAUUGACCAUCUGUCUGCGGAUGGAAAGCUGUGCUAAAAUGUAGUUUCGUACCUAAAGCUGUGCUAAAAUGCACACAAAAUAAACACACAAAAUAAUAUUAAUAAUAUUUUUCUAAUUCGGAUUUGUGGUCCCGAAACCACUAUUCCGAUUAGGGUCAAAAACCGGGUUGUUACAAUUCUGCUUCUUCUGCAUCAUCAUCUUUGGUAGCUCGAAAUUCUUCAGCCCCUUACUUCCUAAUCUUAUCAACAGGUGGUCUCUCACUGAUGACUAUACCUGCAGCUAGGGAAACUACAUGAGGAACCUGUGAAUCCUGAAGGGGUGGAGGUCUUACACCCGGAUUCAUACGAACGAACUCGGCAAACCAAUCAUUCAUGGCUUGGAAGAAGGCUUCUCUAGCUCCUCCUCCCUGUCUAACUGAUGCAGGUCUUUCACUAACGUUAACAUCUAGUGGCACCGUCCUUUCUGCGGAAGUAGGCGCAUUACUCUCUACUUCAUCUGCACCAGCUCGUUCAGGAUCCGUAACUAUAAAAUAAAAUAUUUUAAAAUCGUCAAGAGUCGUCACACUAUCAAAAUAUAUAAGUAUGGCAUGUAUAGGUAGACUUUUAUUCAUACUGCAUAUUUCUGAGAACCGAUUAAACCUGCUCUGAUACCAACAAAUGUAACACCCCUUACCCAAGACCAUUUUCGGAGUCGAGCACGAGGCAUUACUUAUCUUAUCUUACUAACUCGAAGCAUAAAAACUUAUUUUAAAAAUUAAUUUCACUAUUUACAGCAAUCUGUCCAAUCGAGCAGCAGUUACUAAAUUAAUAAUAACUCGAGCUACGGAACUUGAAAUUUAACUUCGUAAAUUUUCACUGAAACUAGACUCAUAUAUCUUCCUACCAUAAAGUUUUUAGGAUUUUUUGUUUAGCCAACUAGUACAGUUUAUUAGUCAAAUUCUCCCCUGUUUCACCAAUCGAUUGCCUUGACCUCUUAUCACUAAAAAUAAAAUUUCUCAAUGUGGGAUUUUCGUAUAGUGCUACUGCUUGCUUCUACAAAAAAUAGACUCAAUAAGGAAUCUAUAAAUAUAAACUACAGCUCCUAAAUAUUUUUUUAAAAAUUUUAAUGAUUUUCUAAACUCAAAAUAGGGGUCACCAAAAACUGUUCUAACCCUGUCUCACCAAAAUUCACAUAUCUUAAAAUAUAAAAUUCAUUUUGCUACACCGUUAUUUUUAUCUGAAAAUAGACUCAACAAGAUUUAAAUUCAUAUAUCAUUCACUCUUUAAUUCAUUUUAUACUAUCCUAGGUGAUAUUUCAAAGUCACGUCGUUGUUGCUGCCUGAAUUCUGUUUCUUUGCAAAAUUGUACCAUUUUAUGAUUUCCAUGCAUAGUUUAUCACUUACACUCUUAUAACAACAAACACUUCCAUACUUCACCAUUUUAGCAACCAUUCAUCAUCAACUACUUACAUAUCAUUCUUUAUCAAGAUCAUAAAUACAAACAUUUAAAAUAACUAAAUCCCUAUACAUUCCAUACUCAACAUGGUUCAACAUAAAAAUACCGAGUUGCUGUGGCUGAUAGUGUGGACGAUCUCCGACUUCUUUAGGAUCCUUGAAGUAACCUUGCAAUACUAUAAGAGAAAGAGAAAUAAAAGACGUAAGCAUAAAGCUUAGUAAGUUUACUAGCAAAUAAAUAACAAUAUUUAACUCAGAUAAUUAAACUCAAGUGUCUAUAUCUCUAGUUUACUCUUUAGUUAAUCCCAUUCUAGUUCUCUUGCUUGUUUACUUAGUAUACUUGUGUGCAUAACUUAAUCUUCUCUUGCUGUAUCGUUGAAUAUCAAUUGAUAAUAUAAUAAGUUCUUAACUCUUAUAACUUACCUGAACUUGCCAUUUAUGUUUUUAACUGAACUUUCCUGAACAUGAUUCGUUAUUUAGCCCGUUGAGCUACAUUGGAACAAUAAGGAUACUCGGGUCUCUUCUGAUAAUAACAUGCCAAAGCCAUGUCCCAGACAUGGUCUUACAUGGGAUGUACUCAUGUCGGUGCCCAUUCCAUGUCCCAGACAUGGUCUUACGGGGGACCUCUCAUCUCGGUGCCAAUGUCAUGUCUCAGACAUGGUCUUACAUGGGACCUCUCAUCUCGGUGCCAACACCAUGUCCCAGACAUUGUCUUACAUGGGACCUCUCAUUUCGGUGCCAACGCCAUGUCCCAGACAUGGUCUUACAUGGGACCUCUUUAUCCAAAUGUCAUGACAUUCGUAUCCAGUAUUAUCCUUAUGUAUCAACGGGACUUUUUAAUUUUAAUUCUCUAUCAUUUCAUGCUUGGAUAAUCAUCAAAUAAAUUCAUGAAAUAAAUUCAUAGUUGCUGGAAAAUAGCAGCAUUAAUAAAAAUUAUUGAAAUAUUUCAUUUAUUUACCGUAAACUUACCUUGGUACCGAAUAUAGCCCAAUUCACCAACUUAGUCUUCAACUUUAUUCUUUCCUUUGUCUAACCUCGAGUUUCAUUCUUCUUGAUCUAAAAUAGAAAAUUUAACUUAUUUAAUACUCACAUUCAUCAAAACAGCCCUCGACUCUAACUUUUCAAAAUUAUGAUUUUGCCCCUAAACUUUUACAUAAUUACAUUUUUCCCCAAGGCUCGAAAAUUCAACUUCAUCUCAUAUUCUUAUGUUUUAUGGCAUGCUGAAUAUUUUUCUCUUCUAUGACAAUAUCAAAUUCUCACUCUAACACUUACUUAUGUACAUUAGAGAUUUUUACCGAUUAUGUCAACUUACUCGUUUUUGCUUAAAAUCGGCUAACAAAAGUUGUUUAACAUAAUUUAUAGCUUCAUAUUCUAUCAUAAAACAUCAAAAUAAACACUUUUCACCUAUGGGUAUUUUUCCAAAUAUAAACCCUAGGUUAAAUUAUUGCUAGAAUAAGCUAAAUUAAGUUACCGGGACUCCAAAAACGUAAGGAACAUUAAAAACGGGGCUUGGGAUCACUUACUAUGGAGCUUGGAAGCUUGAAAACCCUAAAUAUGGCUUACCCCCUUGCUGAUUUCGUCCAAAUGAAGAAGAUGAGCAUAAUUUGUCAUCUUUUUCCCUUUUAAUUCAUUUUAAUUACUAGAUUACCAAAUUGCCCCUAACUUAAAAAUUUCCUAUUUCACUUAUCUCAUGUCCAUUUUUGUCUAAAAACUUAACCAAUGGUCUAAUUACCAUAUAAAGACCUCCAAUUUAAAGUUUCAUAACAAUUGGACACCUCUAACAUGUAGAACUCAACUUUUGCACUUUUUGCAAUUUAGUACUUUUGACUAAAUUGAGUGCCCAAACUUCAAAAUUUUCGAAUAAAAUUUUCAUGAAAUCAUUUUGUGAAAUCAUAGACCAUAAAAAUAUAAGAAAAAUAAAAUUUUCCUCAUCGGAUUUGUGAUCCCGAAACCACUGUUCCGAUAAUCUUAAAUUUGGGCCAUUACAUGAUCACCUUUUUACUAGCUCAUACAUCUCCUACAUCAGACCUUACAUGCAUGCUUACCAAACUUUAUUCUUUUUAACAAAACUUUAUACAUAUCAUCGUAGCACAUCUUUCAUCUUUACUAAACUCAUAUUUUUACCAAUUUCUGUAGACAUCAUCAUCAUCAUCCUAUAUAUAUGCUUCUUGUUUGAACAGUUCAUAUCAAAGAGUCAAGAUAGAGACCCACUUGACACUCACCUACUGCAGUUCAAAGCUCUAAACUUAACCAUCCUUCUCAAACCAGCAGUAAAAACUGCUUAUAGAACAUAGAAUCACCAUUAAAAACCCAUUUACAUACAAAUUACUAUCAUCUUAAUCACUUUUCCACUGUUAAUUUAUAAAUAAGUGUUAAGUAGUAAAUAAAUAAAAAAAUUAACUAAGUUUUCAAAAAAAAAGUCACUGUGACGAGAAGAAUGUUAAAAUUAAUUGGUGUUUGUUAACUCAUAUGUUUUUCUAAAAAUGGGUUAAGUUUUCUUCUGAAAUAAACAAAUGUUUUAAAAUGAUUGUUUUAUAAACUCCGAUCGUACUAUCCCAUCUUGGUGGCUGAUGUAAUAUCCCAAAUUCAGGUCUAACAUCUAAGUCGGGUUGGAUAGGUUACAAUAUAUAUAGAAAGAUUGAUAAAUAAUGCAAACUUGAAUACAAGCAAAGAAAGAAAUCAAUCAAUGUGAAUGACUAACAAGUUUAAAAUCAUAUAUUUGCAUUAUAUUUUGUAAAGCACAAGAUUGUCAUGGAAUUAGACAAUUUGUUUUGAUAAUGGUUAUAUUUUAUAUAGAUUUACUUUUAUGCACUUUCAUAUUGAGUUGAUCAAAAGUUUUGAAACUUUAUAGAAAAUUUGAAUGAAAGAGCAUAUUGAUAUAUAUGCUAUCUUGAGUGUUGAAUUAAGCAUUCUUUAGUAAAAGAGUGUACAUUUCGCACAUGGUAGGUGUGUUGGUUUCUUAUAUAUUAAUUAAGCACAAAUUAAAGAAAAAUAAUAUAUAUCACCAUAGUGUUGUAAUAUUUUGUAUAAUUUGUGAAAUUAUACAAGCAAAUAAGUUUACCUAUCUUGUUAAAUAAAACUCAUUAAGUUGGUUCUUAAUCUUGAAGAAUUAAAUAGGUUGGCUUCUUUAUUCAUUUUAUCCAACUACAAGUUAGAUUAAAGUUGUGGAAAUAGAAUGGUUGAAAAUUUGUGUUAAUGAGAAUUAGAGUUAUGGCCACAACUGAUGCCAACUAUUUCCUAAAAACAGGGAAUGAUGUCCAAAAACAUGCUGUAAAAUAAAAAUUUGGACAUGUUAGAAUAUGAAUUUAUUAUAUUAUAGUUUCAAUGUAAUACCCUUAUCCCAUCUCUGUUGCCGGAUUAGGAUUUCAGAGUAUUACUGAGAAAAAUAGAACAUUUAACUUUCCAACAGAAACAAUUGUACAAUUAAAUACCAACAUAUAACAAUUGAAUCUAAUCAUGGCAAAUAUUACACUUUUGGACCUUGAAUCGAGCCUAUGGGGCCCUAGAAACAGUUUAGGAACAAUCUGGGAUCAAAUCAAAACAAAUCAGAACAUUUUGAAAAAACAUAAAAAUUUAGGAAUACAGAGGUCACAGGCCAUAUGGCCAAGUCGUGUGACAUAGCCUAGAUUGUGUAAACAUCCGAAGUCAGGACACAUAGCUGUGUCCCAGCCUGUGUGUCUACUCAUGUGUAUAUUUGAAAUAGGGUCACACAGUCGUGUUGCAGACUGCCAAACGUGUGUGUAUUCAAAGUGAGGUCGCAAGACCAUGUGGCCGACCGUGCCACAAACUGUUUUGAGACACAAGGUCAUGUCUCAGACCGUGUAAAACAUGCACUUAAAAUAAUAAAUACACACGACCGUAUCUAGUGACUAUGUGUGGCACAUGGUCGUGUGGUAGCUUGUGUCUCAGGUCGUGUGCUCCAUUUUUAACCCCUAAAUCAAGCCAAUCAAGCAUCAUUUCUUAUACAACAAGACAUACCAUAUCUAACUAAUUUUACAUGGUUAAAAACACAUUCAAAUCAACAAAUACAUGCCAAAAUUUCGUUCAUCCUAUGUCUAACCAAUAUGCCAUCAAAAGGCACCUCAAUCCAUACAUCCAUUCAACUCAAGAACAAAGUUACAAUAAAUGAACAAGUUUUAUCAUUAGUUAACCAUUCAUGCCUAAAACCACUAAUCUAAUUGACCAAAAUAUGGGCAUACUCAACAAGCAACCAUUUCAAAACAUCAUCAUCAAAUCUUUAUAUACCAUUUAUGAUCAACUUAAUUAUAUUCAACACAAGUACACAUCCAAAAUCAAGCACAUCACUAAGUAUGCCAAAAUAACUUAACUAUUUACAUAUCAACAAUAAGACACCAUAUCCCAAAAUGAAAUAAAAAAGCUACCAAGAUGGUUGGAUAGUGUGUGCUCCAAAACAAUUCAUCCGGUUAGUCCACAAAACGCCAAAUCAACCAAUAUAGAUAAACAAAAAGGUAAGUUCUAAUUCUUGAUAUUCAAAUGCAAGAUCACACCACAUUAGUAUAUAUUUAUUUACAUCAUAAAUGAUACCUUCCAAAAUUCAUAACCAAUUCAUCAUCCACAAUUUCUCAAUACAACCAUUAAUAUUUAUAAACAAGAACUUCAUAGUAACAUUUAUCAUUUAGUAGUAAUAUAAUUAUCCAACAAAAUUGAACAAAUAAAUGCGUUUUAAGUCAUUUGAUACAUAGCCUGCUGAACUAUAGUAACUUGACUCGGAUACUCAUGAUACUACAUCACACCAAAGGUAUCAAUGAUGCAUAACAGAGGCACCGAAGUGCAGACAAAUGCAUGAAUGUGCAAUCAGAGGCACCGAAGUGAAAACAGAUGCACCAAAGUACAAACCCGUACGAGUGCGCAUUAAAACCCUAUUGGCAUGCUAAUCGUAUCCUAAUUGUUUACUACGUUCAACUGGGCAUUAUACUUAAAAUCAUAAUAUCAAUAAAUCCAUCAUUUAGAGGCACUUCUUAUUUCCGUACACAUACUAUAAAUAUGUAACUUUCAUUUCAAUAAUAUGCAAUAACAAUAAUUACCAUCAUCAAACAUUCAUUUUCUAUUUGUACUUAAUUGCAAAAUUUAAUAAUAUAUAAGUAACUCAUGAAAUUUCACAUAUAUACCAUUAACUAGAAAACAAUAAUAUAAUCAUAAAGUGACACACAUAUACAUAUUAUUACACUAUGAACUUACCUAAAAUCUACUUUCGAUUAAUACACAGGGACUACUCCGCUAUUUUUUCCCUUUUCUCGGUUAUUGUCUUUUUGACUCGGUUCUUGAUCUAUAUAGUAAUUAAAUUCAAUUUAUGAAAUUCACAUACAUUUAAAACUCAAUUCAAUGCAUGAUACCCUUAUGUUUUCAUUAUUUUCACAUUUUUCUUAAACUUUUACAUUUCUCACAAUUUAGUCCCUACAAAAUUUAACAAAAUUUUACAAUUUUCCAUGUUAGUUGAACUUCUUUCGAAACUAGUACAAUCCCUAAUUAUUCACAAUUCACAAAAUUUCUAUGCAAAUUUUAAUAAUUCACACAUUGAUCAUUAAACUCAAAAUUAACACAAAUUUUUUUACAAAAAUAUCCUAAUCAACAUUCAAAUAUGUACAACUACCAUUAAAAAUCAUGAACACCAAAAUUCCAUUACUAACCAAUCCCUAAAACUUUAACAUUUUUAUAAUUCCAUCCUCGGGUUUAAUAGUUUAAGUUACAACGAGUUCAAAAACGUAAAAAUUAUUAAAAACAGGUAAGAGAAACACUUACAUGCACCAAUUUGCUAACCGAAACUUCAAGCUCCAAAAAUGGAGUUUUUUUUUUCUUUUUCGGUGGGAGAGAGUUGAGAAGAUGAUGAUACCAUUUUUUUCUUUUGUUUCUUUUCUUUAAUCAAACUAAUUACUAAAUUAUCCUUUUAAUCUAAACUAAAUUAUUAACAUAGCAUGUCCGUAAUUAUCCAUUAACUAACCAUAAGGUUUAUCUAUCAACCAAGUCCAUUACUUUAGUUUUUCUUUAAAAAUCAAGCACAUUUAACAAAUAGAAGCCACUUUAGCAUCUUUUACAAUUUAGACCUUUUUACUAAAUUAACUAAACAGACAUUAAAAUUUCUUAGCCAAAUUUUAUUAUGACUCCAAUAUAACUCUAUAAGCAUAAAAUAAACAUAAAAUACUAACUCAUUUGUCGAAAUUGUGGUCCUGAAACCACCUUUUUUGAUACCACUGAAAAAUGAGAUAUUACAUUAAAUCUCUAAUUUAUGAUAAUGAAUGUGAGAGAAUAAUUUUCUUUGUUUAGAAAUACUAAUCAUUUUCUUUGUUUAGUAAUACUACAACUAGAAUGUGUUUCGACCCUAUUAUUAGAAACUAAUAAUGGAAACCCAACUUUUAAUUAGAAACCUCUAAUUUUAAAGUUUAAUAGGUAACACCCCGAAUUUUGGCCCUAGAAGAAAUAUGUUUUGAACAAGGGAACAGUUAGGAGACUGCACAUAAAUAUUUAGUUGUGCAAGGAAGUGACAUAAAUGAAUGUCUACUUCAGUGGUUGAGUGAUUUAGGAGUGUUUGGAACUGUCUGAGAAGUCAGGGAUUCAAGCAUUGCUUAUGCAAAAUUUUUAUUUUAAGUGAAUAAAAUCAUUGGAUCUAGAUAGUAAGUUCUUAAAUUAUUGUGGUUAAAAUAUGAUGCAAAAGAGUUGUUGGUCUAGUGGUAAGGGGUGUGUGGAGUGCACAUAGGGCCUAAGGUUCGAGUGGUGGCGCAUCAGAAAGGAAAUAUUUAUUUUGCUACUUGAGCUGUUUAGGUAGUGGAGUUGGACUGAAACACAACUAAGGGGAGUUUGCAUAGAAUUUGAAUGGAGUUGUUGGGGGAGUUGAGGAGAAACCGGUAGAAUAAUUUAAGGAGGGAUAAGGGGAGAGAUUUUAGGAGAAAAUCAAGGGAAGUGAGGGGAGUGAAGAAGUGUGCCGAAAGUGGACUUUGAUACUCAGGAAAUUUGGCCAGAAGGGAUACUGCUCAUUUUGGUAUACUUUUCAUUUCGGUUUUGUGUAGUGUUUCUCUCUCUUUUUGCUUUUUGGUGCCGAAUUUUUGCUAAGAUUUCGAGUACCACUCGGGUUUUUCUUUUGCUGCUUUUUUCUUUUAUCAUUUCUUUUGUUUUGGCCGAAUUUCUUUUUAGUUCCCUCCUUUGUCGAAUUCUUUUCUCUCUUCUCUUUGUUGCUUCUUUUCAUUUCUCUAUUUUUCCAAACCUUGACCGAACAGUGUUGAAGUAGUUCUGUGUUCCAUCUUUUGUCUAAAAUGCUCUUCUUCCUCUACUCCUUUUGAUCAACUAUUUGUCGAAUAUUGCCUUCUCUCCCCUUUUAUCUCUUUAAAUUUAUUUUCGGCUUGACAACAAUUCUCUAACAGUUCAAAUUUCUUGAGGAGUGAAAAAGUAUCGCAUAAUAUUAAAGUCAUCGAAACCUUUCUCUCAUCACUCGAUCAAAGGUAAGUAUGUAGGCUAGCAUUCUAAAGUGUAGGCUGAGUGCUUUCUAUGGUUUCAUAAGUUAUUAUGUUUGGAUUUAAACCACAUGAAUAAACAAUCCUAUUUAAUAAAAUCCGUUUGUAAUGCAGAUAUCCAUCAAAGAGAUUGUAGUCAACCUUCGUCAGUGAUAUAAGUAGGCUAAGUCACAUUUGACAAUCGAGGCUUUGGUGCUCGUGGAUCUUAGAGUGUUUUCACAAUCAGGUGUGUAAACACCCCACUGUAACCGUAGAACGACAAAAAGCUAAAAGGCCAAAAAUACGGUGUUUGAGACCACACAGGCGUGCGAUCUCUCAUGUGGUAAGCCCAACCCACAAAUCAUGGCCGAUAGACUGUAGAGGCCUCCAUGAACAUUUCCAUGGGCUUAGGCCGUAAUGGGCCACGUUGGGCCGAAAUGGGUCGUGUGGGUUCAAUAGGCUCGUGGGCACCAUACAGAUGAGAACCACGAUUUGUGAAAAAUACUGGACUGGGCUAUGAAGAUCUCAUAGCCGUGGAAAAAUCUGGGCUGAACAGGCCGCACAAGCGUGCGGGCCUACUUGGGCCGAGUAAUGGGCCUUAGGCCCAUUUGUACCAUUAUGACCAUUUAGGUUACCUGAGUCGCUCGAGGUAACUACGGACCUUUCGAGAGGUCGAUAUCUGCACCAAGACCCAAAAUAGGUAAAAUGAUCGAAAUACCCCUAUAGAGUAAAAUGACCGAAAUACCCCCAAAGGAUAAAAUGAUUGAAAUACCCCUAUAAGGUAAAACGAUCGAAAUACCCCCGUAGGAUAAAAUAACUAUUAUACCCCUAGAAGAUGAAAUGACUGUUAUGGCCUUAUGCUAUGUAUGACUGUUUUGCUCUAUGAUAUGUAUGACUAUGGUUGAGCAUGACAUUUUUCAUACACGUAUGAUAUUAUGUCAUGAUAUAUUGCAUGGGGAUGGAUUGUUAUAUUUGGAGGAAGUGUACUGUACUGACAAGGUUGCACGGGUCGCCCAAGACGACUGUGGACCUACUGAUGGCUAUAUGCCAUUUAUUUUACUGGCAGCUUUGCUGCAAUACUGUUUAAUGCUGCAACUGGUGCUAAUCUUGGUGUGUUUGGAUGGAUGGGUAGAUUUUAUCCCCCAUAUGGUGUGUUUGGCGGAACUGUAACACCCUUAACCUGAAUCCAUUCUGACAUUGUCUCACAAAAUUUAUUAUAUCUCAUAGUUUACAAUUUUAUUACUUACACCAUUUCUUCCAUGAGAAACUAGACUCAAUAAGUUUUAAUUCUAUAUUUUAUUCAUACUCUAAUUCGAUUUUCAUAAUUUAUGGUGAUUUUUCAAAGUGAGCCUACUGUUGUUGUCCAAAACUAUUUUAGUACAAGAUGUUUAUUACCAUGUUUAUAACACCCUUAUUUUCUUUCUCUACACUAUUUCUCAUCCCUUUCUCUUAUUUUCUCUUCACUUACAUAUUAAGAACAUAGGACCAUAUAUACAAAAAAACUUUACACUAACAUCAUUUCCAUACUUUUUCAAUAAUAUCAAACUUAAAAAUAUACUAAAAUCUUGAUGUACUUACCUUGUCAUAUUGAUUUUAAUCUUUAACUUGAUUUUCUCUCUCCUCCAGCUUCUAUUUCUUGAAUCUAACUUGAUAUUAUAGCUCCCCAUAGUCUCCUUGUAAUCUUUCUCUCUUGAUGGAUAUGGAAAUUCUUUUGAUUUCUAGAUGAAAAUAGUGAAUUUUUGGUGAAAGGACUAAAUUGUAAAGAAAGCAAAACUUUCUUUCUUCUCUUCUCCUCUUAACGUGAAUUGCAUGGAAAAGAUGGUGGGUUGGUUCCUUUUCAUCUUUCUUUCCACAUAUAUAUACUAAAUAAUAAAAUAAUAAAAUAUCAUUUAAAAAUCAAAUUAAAAUACUAAUAAACUAAUAUUUAUUUGUUUAUUUAAUCUAAAAUAUCUCCAACAUCAUCAUUAUCUUCUAGAUUUCUCUCUCUUCUAAUUGACCAUUUUGCCCUUCAUGAUAUUUUAAAAUUCCAUCCUUGAGUCAUCACUUAAUUUCGUAAAAUUUCAAUUUAGUCCCUCAAAAUUCCUCACCUUUUUUCAAUUUAGUCCUAAUACAUCCAUUUUCCUUAGUUUCUAGAUCAUUCCACCCUUAAAAUAUUUACACCAUUGGUCCUUCAAUUUUUUCAUAUUUACACUUUAACCCCUCAAUUUUUGAGUAUUUACUCUUGGGCAACAAAAUUUUUACGAUUUAAUCCUUUCUUGAGGUAAUAUGUCAUAAUAUACUUCCCAAUGUUGACAUAACUCCAAAAUUCCCUUUUUUGUCGCUUUAUUUCCUUAUUUUUUUAUAUCAAAGAUAAUAUCUUACUGUAAAAAUUUUUUUGGGGGGUAUUACAUUUCUCUCCCCCUCAAAAUAAAUUUCGUCCUCGAAAUUUCCUUAUUUUCUUUUGAUCAUGAACUUAUUUUUUCUUUAAUUCUAUAGUUCAUUUUUUUUGCAUAUAUUUACUUAGCUUAUCAUUUGUGUCUAUUCUUUAUUCUUUCAUUUCACAAUUUAUUUUUAAUUUAAUAUUUCAAACAUGAAUCAGAGAUAAACUUUUACCUUGUAACUAAAAUUAUUUACCUUUUUACCUGAGGCCCAGUGGACUAAAUAGAACACGUAGGAUAUAUGAAAUUGAUACAGAAGUGCUCUGUUAUACAUCAUUAAACAGAGAGCACUAAAGUGUUAUACGGGAGCAUAAAUGUGCUAAUAAUUGGAGAGCACUAGCGUGCUAUUAAUCAGAGAGUGCGCUAAGGUUCCUUAAUGAUAUACUACUAAUAUCCUAAUAGUUCUAAUCUCAUCUACUUGGGCAAAUUAUAUCAUGCAUGCAUACGACUUUUACACUUUGCGCAUAAUGCUUUUACAUACUUUACAAUUUAAACCUUGUACCAAUGAUUCGUAUAUUUAUACCUUCUCUACCUUUAAUACAUGUAAUAUAUUUCAAAAUUCACUAAUAAUCCAUAUAUAUCAUGUACUUCAUAUAUCAUUUUUACAUAUUAUGCAAUUUAGUCAUCAGCGCAAUAUUUCUUGUAGCAAUAUGUUUUUCUUUUAAUGACACAUAUAACAUUCAUCAUCGACAUGUAUUAUAAAACAUUUAUUCAUACUUUCAUGAGUUCCAAUUCAUCCUAAUCAAUUUUUUUUACUCAUAUACUUGAGUAUCACUUUCAACAUUAUCAGAAUUAGCUCGGUUAGGAAAACAUCUCUGUUUAUAAGUAAAACAAUUCUCAUCAGACUCGAGAGAUAUCACACUAUCACAGGUUACAUAAUGGCAUGCAUUUCUAGACUUCACAUAAGCUACGUUUGGUCCAAGAACCGACUAAAUCGUAGCUCUGAUACCAAUAAAUGUAACACUCUUAACCCGAAUCCAUUCUGACAUUGUCUCACAAAAUUUAUUAUAUCUCAUAGUUUACAAUUCUAUUACUUACACCAUUUCUUCCAUGAGAAACUAGACUCAAUAAGCUUUAAUUCUAUAUUUUAUUCAUACUCUAAUUCGAUUUUCAUAAUUUAUGGUGAUUUUUCAAAGUGAGCCUACUGUUGCUGUCCAAAACUAUUUUAGUACAAGAUGUUUAUUACCAUGUUUAUAACACCCUUAUUUUCUUUCGCUACACUAUUUCUCAUCCCUUUCUCUUAUUUUCUGUUCACUAACGUAUUAAGAACAUAGGACCAUAUAUACAAAAACUUUACAUUAACAUCAUUUCCAUACUUUUUCAAUAAUAUCAAACUUAAAAAUAUACUAAAAUCUUGAUGUACUUACCUUGUCAUAUUGAUUUCAAUCUUUAACUUGAUUUUCUCUCUCCUCCAGCUUCUAUUUCUUGAAUCUAACUUGAUAUUAUAGCUCCCCAUAGUCUCCUUGUAAUCUUUCUCUCUUGAUGGAUAUGGAAAUUCUUUUGAUUUCUAGAUGAAAAUAGUGAAUUUUUGGUGGAAGGACUAAAUUGUAAAGAAAGCAAAACUUUCUUUCUUUUCUCCUCUUAACGUGAAUUGCAUGGAAAAGAUGGUAGGUUGGUUCCUUUUCAUCUUUCUUUCCACAUAUAUAUACUAAAUAAUAAAAUAAUAAAAUAUCAUUUAAAAAUCAAAUUAAAAUACUAAUAAACUAAUAUUUAUUUAUUUAUUUAAUCUAAAAUAUCUCCAACAUCAUCAUUAUCUUCUAGAUUUCUCUCUCUUCUAAUUGACCAUUUUGCCCUUCAUGAUAUUUUAAAAUUCCAUCCUUGAGUCAUCACUUAAUUUCGUAAAAUUGCAAUUUAGUCCCUCAAAAUUCUUCACCUUUUUUCAAUUUAGUCCUAAUACAUCCAUUUUCCUUAGUUUCUAUAUCAUCCCACCCUUAAAGUAUUUACACCAUUGGUCCUUCAACUUUUUCAUAUUUACACUUUAACCCCUCAAUUUUUGAGUAUUUACUCUUGGGCAACAAAAUUUUUACGAUUUAAUCAUUUCUUGAGGUAAUAUGUCAUAAUAUACUUCCCAAUGUUGACAUAACUCCAAAAUUUCCCUUUUUGUCGCUUUAUUUCCUUAUUUUUUUAUAUCAAAGAUAAUAUCUUAGUGUAAAAAAAAAUUUUUUGGGUAUUACAGGAACAGAGUGGUGUGUAGAGGCUGGAUUGGGUAGGAUUUCUAACUGCAUAUCUACACUAAUUAAUGAUUUUGUAUUGUUACUACAUCGAUUAAUGAUAUUACAUACUGUUUACUGCAUGACUGAUAUUUGUUGCUGUUAUGGGCCAAGGCCCCACUGAUACUAUUACUGAAAUUGGGCAAAUGCCCUAUUGAUUAUUGGUAUUGUGAUGGGCUCAAGCCCAAUCGUUUAAUGUUACGGGAAAGGGCUUAGGCCCACACUGAACUGGACUGUUACUAUAACAGGCUCAGGCCCAAACUGUAUUUAUCUAUUGUUUAAUUGACUACUUACUUGUUAGGGGAUUGCACACUGAGUUUUCGUAAACUCAACCCGUUGUUUAACUGUACAGGUAAUCCCUAGUUGUAGUAGGGUCAGUGCUGCGAGGGACUCGAUGAUGGCCACACAACUGCAUCAGCUUUUGUUUUUAGCCUUUGAUUUAUAAGAAACUGAAUUUGGGUAUUUUUAUGUAAAAAGGCCUCUUUAAAGUUAUAAACUUUAAAUUGGGGUUUUUAUUUAUUUAGUUUGAUAUAAACUACUAGUUGUAGAAAAAGACGGGUUUUCAAAAGGUAAAUGUUUUCAAAGUUUCAAAAGGUAAAUGUUUUCAAAGACACCACGUUUUCGCAACAUUUCUAAAAAAAAACUUCCGCAAUGAAUGAGAUUUUGGAAAAUUUAUAACGUUUUAAAAGUGAUUAGCUUUUAAUGAUGCAUGCUUGGAAAUGAACAACCCGUUUUGGAAUCAUAGUUUAACAGCAAAAUGAUUAAUUGAUUUUAAAGAUUUCAACGACAACAAGUUUUACGCUAAACACCUUAAAGUGACACCGCCAGAUUCAACCAUAACUCCUAGGCCGGGUUUGGGGUGUUACAAUGUGUUUCAACCCUAUUAUUAGAAACUGAUACCCUAUUAUUAGAAACUGAUAAUGGAAACACAACUUUUAAUUAGAAACCUCUAAUUUUAAAAUUCAAUAGGUAAAAGCAAGUUAUCGUUAAGUGCCUGUGAUACGCUAGUAAAACUCAUUCUAGAAAAAAAAGUUUAAUGGAAACAAUUGUUAUCCAUUGCGUAUAGAGGAUGAAUUUGAAUACUAUUAAUUAAGUUCAUUGUUUAUUGUUUAAAUGUCUAAAGUAAGGGAGACAUUAAAAGAACUCUACCUUUAUAAACAUAAGAAGUGGUGCCACUUCAACAAGUAAAGGUAGGGUCUCUCUUGUAAAUGUUUAUUAUGAACAAGAUAAGCACAUGAUCAUUUUAGUGCUAAAAGUGAACAACCUCUGAUAGAAAUAUAAACGAAUAUUAUGUAUAGUGUAUUUCAACUUCUAAUACUAGGAGUUGUGGUUCAAUCUUCGGACACCGACAACUUAUUAAAACUUUGAAAAGCAUCCGCUUAUUGAUGGUUCAUAUUGAGAGGUAUCAUCUUUAAUGCAUAAUAUUUGUUUGAGUGAAUGACCAUAAAGUAUGGUACCAACAUUUAAACUAAGGGUGAUUGUUAGUAGUUUAUAAUUUUGGCAGUAAAAAUAUUUUAUUAUGUAGAAAAGUCUAAUAAAUUAUAAUUAUUGGUCAAAUAGUUGUGUUGUAAAGACAAUUUUUGUAUGUAAAGUUGUCUUAUAAACUUUAUGUAAAGUUGUGUUGUAAAACAACAAAAUUAUAUGAAAAUGUAUCUUAUUAAAAGAUACAUCCAUAUGAAAGGGUAUCUCAUGAAAAGAUACACCUAUUAGAUGUCUAUAUAAAAGAUUUUUCUGUUAGUUAUUUAAAUUGUUUUGCUUGGAGUGUUGAGGGCUUUGUUGUAUCUUGAAGGUAUUUUAAAAUCUUAAAGAAAGUGCUCUACACACCUUAAAGUCAUUAUAUUUUAUAACAUUAUUUUAUUUUUCUAACUUUUAUUUUCCUAUUAUUUAUUUUUCUAACAGCUAGAAUAUAGGAAAAUUAUUAUGUUUCUAGCUAUAUAUUGAAUACAAGUAUGUUGGUGUUUAGAACUCGAACUUUGAUGGUUGAUCGAGAGAUUUGAAGCAGAAAGAAGAGACGGGAAGUUUUAAGUAGAAAAAUAAUUGAAGACUGGAAUAUAUAAUUGAUUUGCACCUCAACUAUUUAAAUACAAAAGUUCAAGCUAAAAAUAGAAAAAAAAAGUUCUAAAAAUCUGCUAAAAAUCUGGUAACAAAAUAGCAAACAAAUCAAAAAUCUAAUCUCCUAAAGUCAAGGAGAAUUAUUCAAACUUAGUAACAGAAAAAAUUUAAAUGGCAGCAAUCUUAAACACAUGAUCUUAACACUCCUCCUUGUUUAGAUGCUACAAACUCCAAGUUUCUUCCUGAAGCUUUCAAACUUGCUAAGUGGCAAUGGUUUGGUGAAGAUAUCUGCAAUUUGAUCUUCAGAUUUGUAGUAACAAAGAGACACAUCACCACUCUUUUAAACUUCUCGAACAAAAAAUAACUUGAUGUUAAAAUGCUUAGUCUUCCCAUGAAAGACUGGAUUGUUAGAGAUUGCAAUGGCAGCCUGGUUAUCAACUAGAAUCUUUGUGCUUUGCUUCUACUCCAUGUUUAGAUCAACAAGAAUCUUCCUUAACCAGAGAGCUUGGUUAACUGUUGCUGUUGCAGCCAUAAAUUCUGCCUCAACAGUGGAUUGAGCUACAGUUUCUUGCUUCUUCGAGCUCCAAGAGAACAUGCCUGAUCCAAGGCAAAAACAAUAACCAGAGGUACUCUUCAUAUCAUCAGUUAAGCCACCCCAAUCACUGUUAGAGAAACCAAUCAACUUCAAUUCCCUAUGCUUUAAAAACUUUACUCCAUAAUUCCAGGUCCCCUUGAUGUAUCUGAUAACUCUUUUUGCAGCUCUCAUGUGAGUCUCAUUGGGACAAUGCAUGAAUCUGGAGAGAAUACUUACAGCAUUCAAGAUGUCGAGUCUGGUUGUUGUUAAGUACAUUAGACAACCUACCAAACUCCUGAACUCAGCUUCAAUGACUUUGGCAGAACCAUCAUCUUUGAUUAGCUUCUCUUUUUGAUUCAUAGGAGUACUCAUUGCUUUGCAAUCUUCCAUAUGGAAUUUUCUAAGUAUCUCCUUUGCAUACUUUCUUUGACAGAUGAACACUUCAUCUUGGCUUUAUUUGAUCUCAAUGCCAAGGAAAUAAGACAUCAGAUCAAGGUCUGUCAUUUCGAAGACAUUAUGCAUUUCCAAUUUAAACUGAUUAACUUGAUCGAUAUUGCUCCUUGUAAUCAAUAAGUACAAAUAAGCAAGCUUUUUCCUUUGAUUUCCUUAUCUUCUUUUCUUUUUGUGCUUUAAUCUGUGCCACAGUAGGAUUUGCUGGAAGAGGUGGGACCUCGUAAUCCUCUUCUACAGGUUCCCAAAGAUCCAAAGCCUCUAUGUAAGUCUCCAUGCGAACUGCCUACAUCUGGUAAUUGUCUCCAUCGAAGACUGGUGGUGCAGCAACUGAAAAACUGGACCCUCCUUCCAUAUUAACACGCAAAUAACCUAACAAAUCCCUCAAGAAAAUAGCUCUGAUACCAAUUUGUUGGUGUUUAGAACUCGAACUUUGAUGGUUGAUCGAGAGAUUUGAAGCAGAAAGAAGAGACGGGAAGUUUUAAGUAGAAAAAUAAUUGAAGACUGGAAUAUAUAAUUGAUUUGCACCUCAACUAUUUAAAUACAAAAGUUCAAGCUAAAAAUAGAAAAAAAAUGUUUUAAAAAUCUGCUAAAAAUCUGGUAACAAAAUAGCAAACAAAUAAAAAAUCUAAUCUCCUAAAAUCAAGAAGAAUUAUUCAAACUUAGUAACAGAAAAAAUUUAAAUGGCAGCAAUCUUAAACCCAUGAUCUUAACAAAGUACUACUUGGAAGCCAACACCCACAAACAUGAUAAAAGUUAAUUUUGAUGAGAGUUUUGACAUGGAAGCAAGAAAUGAGGAAGAGGGUAGUUAUGCAGCAUUGUGAUGAUUUUUUAGUCUGACUAUGCAACCAUCCAAUUUAGGGUGCAUUCUCCAUUGUGGUGAAAAAGCACUUAAAGAACAUUUGGUUUUUGCACUUAAAAUGUGAUGGAAAAAUGUUUUUCCACCCAAAUACAAAAACUAGGAUAUAAAUGUUUUUGACUUUUAGCUUUUAUGUUUGGAAGUGAAAAUUAUCAAAAUAUCAUUAUUUAUAUUAACUAUUUAAAUGGUAUAUAAAAAUUAGAUUAAUUUAUAUUUUAUAUAUCAUUAUAUUAAAUUAUUUAAAUAUUAUUUAUUAUUAUAUAUUUUAAUAAUUUAUAUAUCAUCUAUUUUACAAAUAAUUUAUAUUAAUUACUUAAAAAAUAUUUGGAACUUAUAUUUCAUGUAUCAUUAUAUUAAAUUAUUUAAAUAUCACAUAAUUUAACUAAUUUUUUACUUUCCACUAUCAUGUCUAAAGAAAAGGAUAUUUUAACUUUUAACAAGAAUUUUUUGUAGCAAUGGAGAACACCAAAAAUUAAUAAACACACUUUUUCAUAGUAAUUUUCAACCACACUUUUCAACCGCAACCCUAAUGAAGAAUUAAUCCUUACUAAAGUUACCGAAGCACUAGCUUCCACCGUAGCCAUUGAAAUGGCGCUCCAAUUGGGAUUGCAACACAUUAUUAUUAAAGGAGAUGCUCUCCAAGUGGUUUCGGAGUUGAAGGAAGACAAAGGAGACCUACCAACAACCGGACCUUGAUAGCAAAGAGUUGAAUACUUGCUAAACAGGUUCAGCAAUGUAGGUUUCAACACAGGAAGAGGCAUGCUAAUGAGGUGGCACAUCAUCUGACCAAACAGGGCCUUAAUUGUUUUCCAUCUUUUGUUCAUAUGUUUGUUUUGAAAAGGUAAAACAAAUCCUCACCUAUUGAUGUUAGAACGGUUGAAUUGCUAAAAGCAUGCUGCAUGCAUAACCAUGCUUUAGGUUAGGCUUCAAAUUAAAUAAAUUUUAAAUUAUUUUUAUUUAAAUUUAAUUAUAAAAAUAAAUUAAUAUCAAUAGAAAAUUAUAUAAAAUUUUAAGAUAUUUUAUUUUUCAAUAAUAAAACGAAUCAUUCACCAAACCUAAUUCUUCAAUUUCUUUUUAAUUAGAUCACAACUCAAGCCAAGCUAACCAAUAAACACCCAAAAUCUACCAUCAUUUUCAUUUUCAUUUUUUUUUCUUUUGUGACAAAGUAGACAGAAGAUUCGGUUUGGAUAAGCUCUACGUUAUUAAGUCAAAAGCUGAAGUAAUUUUAAUCAUAAAUUGUUUUAUUUGUCUAUAAUGCAAAACAAUGACCCAGUUAGUACAAUAAAGCUUUAACUUUGUGGAACAUUUCAGUCCAAAAAAAAAAAAAAAAAGAAUUGUGGAAAUUUUAGAGCAGUUGACCAUUUCUUCGGAAUUAGUUUUCUCACUUCUUGUCCAUAUUCCAUGUAUAUUAUUUCAAGAAAUUAGGUUUAGAAAUUUGCAUAAUUCAACCAUUGAACUAAUAAAUAUUAAACAAAAAUUGGGUGGCAAAAAAAAUCUUAUUAAAAUCAUAUACUAUUACUAAAAUUUAUGAUUAAAUUAGUGUCACGAGUUAACGGGACAUUAACAAAUUAUAUUAUUUGAGGGUAUUUUAAUCUUUUUAUUAAAAAAGAUGAUGUCUCAAAUUAACUCACAAUCUAAUCUAAUUUUUCAUUUUAAUAUUGUAAAUAUUUCAUGUUUUAUUAUUAAUUUGUUUCAAAUUAUACAUUUCAUUAUUUAUUUUAUGUUAUUUUUAAACACAUCUGUAUUCUAAGUACCUAAUUUUCACUUAUGGGUAUCAGAGGCGAAUCUAGGGAGGCUGAUAGGGGUCUCGGUCCCCUUAAAAUAGAAAAUUAUUAUUUAAGCCAUUUAGAAAAUUUUAAAAUUUUAAAUUAGUAAAUGUAAAAUUACACUUUGACCCCUCUAAAAUUAUAAAAAUUUGAUUUAAUCCUUUAAAAAUUAUAAAGAUAUAAACUAUUAAAAAUAAAAAUUUCAUUUCGGCCCUGCCUAAAAAAUUUUUUUGACUUCACCCCUAAAGUAUGAUAGAGUUUCUAGUAUGAAUAAUUUUCUUUGGAAGUGUUAAACAAACAAAGGAGUUAAGUAAACAGUAGUUUUCAUACAGAAAUAUUCGGCGUUGAUGUUUCCCUUUCGAAUAAUUAAAUUAAGACUUAGGAAAAGGGAAAACAAUGAAAAAGAAACUAAAAUUGAGCUUAAUUUAUGGAGUUGGGUUAAAAUUUUAAUAUUUAAAUAUAAAAAUUCUAAUAAUUUGAUCUGGUCCGUUUCAUCUAGCAGACUAAUAAUAAAUCUUAAAACAUAUUAUAUUUUAAUUUAAAUAAAACCAAAACUAAUACACUUGACCUACAUCUACAUGUGAUCUAUGCUUCAUUUAAAUUAGUCUAAAUUAGACGAGAUCUUGAUUAGGAGUCAUUUAUUUAUAUUAUAAGUCCCUGAAACAUGCAAAACUUACAUUUAAAAAUUAAUAUUUUUACGUUGUUGUUAGAAUAUAGGGUUUGUUAAUGUUUUCGUGUGAAGUCAGCUGUUGACAUUACCAAUCAGAUAAUGAAAAGGAAACAUGGCAAUUAUUCCAUCCUAAUUGUCACCAAAUUAAGUUAAUCCAAAAAUUACCAAACGUUUAGUACUUCAAUGGUAGAGUCAGCUCUUUCUUCUAGUCUAUCAAAAAAAGUCAAUUUAACCCCUAACUCUUGGAUGGAAAAGUUUUUGCUAUGAACUUGUUGAAGUGAAUCUCAUGUGAUAUAAACGCAUCGCAAUCUCCGUGUGUAACUAAAAAUAUUUGAGAGAUUGAAUAAUUUAAAGGGGAAAAAAAAAGAAUUUACUCCCUCCACUAACAAAUUACUCUUGCCAACGUAUGUAUGAAAGUAAACACCUUUAAUUAAUCAACAAAUGCUAAAGUUCGAGGUUUAGAAUUAAUUAAAUACCAAUAUAAAUAGUUAAUUACUUUUUUGAAAUAAGGAUAAAUCAGUUUGUGAGGUUUGAAUUUUUUGUAUCUUAACAAUUGUUCUGACUUUAGAGUUUGAAGGUUUUUUUUUUAUCCAAAUUAACCUAUGAACUUAGUAAUUUGUCUCUCAUUAAGGUUUAAAUUUUUUAUUUAUCUAAGUUAAUUCUUAAAAAUCUUGAAAUUCGAGAAUAAUUGUCAAGUUAAAAAAAUUUAGAUUUCAAUAUGAGAAUAAUCUACUAGUUCGUAACCUUAAUAUAAAAACAAUUGUUAAGUUGAAAACUUAAUUUAAAAACAAAUUCAAACCCUUCUUAAGUUUACGAUUUAACCCUUUGAAAUAUUGCGUUAACUAGUAAGAGUAAGAAUUAUUUUGUGUUGAUGAUUAAAUAAAUAUUUAAGUGGAGAUCAAGUUUUACCUCAUUUGUCAAUUGUCAGGUGAAGAAUAUAUACCCCUAAAGGCCUAUCAAAAACGGACCUAUCUCUAUCUAUAUAUCUUAACUAAUUUACUAUUCAUUUUUAAUGAAAAUCAAUAAAUCAAUGAAAACGUUAUAAAAAGAAAACUACGUGAAUAAAUUAUAUGUGUAAAAUUGAAAUAUUUCUUAUUUUAGUACAAUGGUAAGGAACAUUACAUUUUUAAGGAAAUGAUGUCAGGUUCAAACCUUAAAGAUAAUAUUCUUCUUCUUGAGAAGAACAAUCCCAAACUCCAAAAUGAACCCUUAUGAAUUAUAUAAAAAAAUUUUGAAAUAUUUCUAUAAAAUAUCAUUAAAGUUUUUUAUUUAAAAAAUGUUAUGGGUAUACUUUUACCUCUUGUAAAAAAGUCUUUCAUUUCUCAAUUCUUAUGGCAUAGUAAAUUUAUCAUUAAUUUUCAUCUUUAGGUAAAAAAAAUGGUUAUUAUUUGUGUAUUAAAUAAUUGUUAGGAUAAAUUUUAAAAUUGUAUAUGAAUUUUGGUUUAAUGUUAAUUAUAUACAUUAAUUUUAAUUUUAUGUAAUUUUAUAAAUGAAAUUUUAAUUUGAUCCAAUUCUAACAAAUUAUUAACACAGUUAUUGAUAUAACAUCAUUUUAUGUUUAUAUGCUAUAUACAGAAAUAAUUAUGUUUAUUCAAUAUAAAAAUAAAUUGAUGUAUUUAUUUCUUUAAACAUAUAUGAUUGAAUCAAAAUUAAAACAUCGUGUAUAUAUUUGAACCACAAUUAAAAUUUUACAUAUAAAAUUACAUAAAAUUACAAUUUAUAUACGUAAUAAACUAAAAUUCAUAUAUAAUUUUAAGAUUUAUGUCCACAAUUCUCUAAAGCUAAACGGUGAUGAUUACCAUGGAAAUUCAAUGUACUUAACUAAUUGGUUGAUAGGAACAGGCAUGAUGAAAUCCAUGAUGGGAAGAGAGAGAAUUCAAAAACUGGAAUGCCCCCAUUAAUCCAUGCAAAUAAACUUUUUCGGUAUUACAUCAUAAUUCAUUUAAUUUUAUCAUCAUCUCUAUGCCAUAACCAUGUUUAAAGUAAAAUACUUAUAUAAAUUGAGACAUUAAUAGUUUGUAUUAUAUAAAUUAUGACAUCCAUAUAUCCAUAUUAUAAUUUUUAUGAAAAAUUAGAGCUGGCAGAUAAAAAAUGGCUUACUGAUCAAUGAAAAAUAAACUUUAUUUCUUGUAAAUUGACUUAUCCUUUUAAAAAGUAUAAAUAUUUUUUUAAAAUUCAUUUAUGAGUAAUUUUAUUAUUAUAAAAAUUAAUUUUGCAAAGUCUAAUAUUAUUAUAUUAAUAAUUUUAUUUUAAAACUAUUUAAAAAUACUAAUAUCAAAUAUUAUAAUGUUGAAUCCUAGUAACAUACAUAUUAAAUUAUUUAAAUUAUGUAAUAUUGCAAUUUUAUUUUAAUACUAAAUUUUAACAACAAUAAUUUUAAAUUUUAGAUCAUAUUUUUAAUAUAUUAUUGAAAAAUAUUUAUAUUAAUAUUUUAAUAAUAAAUAUAUAUAUUAAAAUUUAUAAAUAUUUAAUAAUAAAUGUUUUAUAGUAUAAAAUAUGAAUAUUUUAAUUAUAUAGAUAUGAGCAUUUGUUUAAAUCAUGUUUAGUUUCAUUUAUCUCCCAACUAUAAUGUGUUAUUAUACACCGUCAUAUAUAUAAUAUAUGUAAUUUAAGCAUUGUUUAUUAUUAAAUUUAUAUAUGAUAUUAAUUAUUAUAAAAUAUUAUCUUAUUAUAAAAGAAAUUCUAAUUAUCAAAAAGAAAUGUUACUUUAAUAUUUUGUAACAAGUAUAUUUAUGUUGGGCUUGUUUCAAUAAUAACUUUAAAAUGAUUUUAGAAAAAAAAUUGUCAAAUAAUAAAAAAAUAUUUUAAGCAAAAUAAUUCAAACACAAAAAACUAUCAACUUUUCCAUAAAAUCAAUCCAAUUUUAAGAAAACAUUUUGUGAAAAUUGUUUUAGGUAAAACAAAAGGAACCUAUAUUUUAUAUAGUAUUUGAAAAGUUGUUGUAUCUAGAAUUAUUAUCUUAAAUAUUUUUUUAGGUCUAAUUUUAAAUUUCAUCCCUUUAUGAAAAUUGAGAAGUUAAAUUUUCUAUUUUACUUUAUCAGUCUGUGCUUGAUUGUUUAUUAAUUUGUCGUGUAUAAAUGGUUAAAUUAUUGAUUUUUGUUAAUUACUAGCAUGUAAAUUGUCAAACUACUUGUUCUCAAGGGAACGGUAAAGUUUAAUAGUAUUAUCAAUUUAGAACAAUUUUUGAGUUUUUUCUUUUAUUUUUCAUGUUCGAGUCCAUAAUUACUCCUUCUAAUAAUGUCGUCUUUAAAGUUUGAGUUCGAAUUCAAAUUCUCUUUUUGGAAGUACAAUAUGCCUUAUAAUUAUACCUAAUACUUUUGAUUUUUGUAAAAUAUAAGAAUCAAAAUUGUGUAGUAGGAUUAAUUUCUAGAUUUUUUAAAUUUAAAAUUUAUAAUAUUAUCAAUCGCAUCACACACAAAACCAAAGAACAAGAGAAUCUAAAAAACACGUGGACCAUUAAUUUAGGAAUGGACAUUAUAUUUUAUUAGUGGAAUAAACUCAUGCAAAAUGGUUGGAAAACACAUACAGGAUUAUAUAUACUAAUCAUUUUUAUUAUUAAGCAGAAUCGGAAAUAAAUAAAUACGAGCGAAACCACUGAAUAAUACAGCAUUGAAAUGCAAUUUGUCUACAUCAUUAUUGUUCUUCACUUCAAACGCGGAGACUAGUCUAGGCUCCCAAUCUUUUGCUUUAUCUCUCUAGAUAUAUCCUUUUCAAACUAUCUUUUUGUAGCUUUAUUUGCAUCACAGCAUUAUCUUUUCCUGCAAACAACUGUUCAAUGAUUAAAACAUGCAAAACAUUCUGAAAUAAUGCACCCUUACCAGAUGACAAAAAAAAAAAAAGAUUCUAAUGUAUCUUACCUUGGAUUGGAGCACGGUCAAAGCCGUGGCUUAGUAGUGGUGAGGAGGAGGGGGUGAAGCGUAGACAUAAUGGGGUGGUGGUGGUGGAGGAGACUUGUAUUUGUAAACUGGAGGAGGAGGUGGUGGAGACUUGUACUUGUAAGGGUGCUUGGGGGGUGAUGGUGGGGGUGGUGGGGGUGACUUGUACUUGUAGGGGUGCUUGGGUGGUGACGGUGGGGGUGGGGACUUGUACUUGUAAGGAUGCUUGGGGGGUGAUGGUGGUGGUGGUGGAGGUGACUUGUACUUGUAGGGGUGCUUGGGUGGUGACGGUGGGGGUGGGGACUUGUACUUGUAAGGGUGCUUGGGUGGUGACGGUGGUGGUGGUGGGGGGGACUUGUACUUGUAGGGAUGCUUUGGUGGGGAUGGUGGUGGUGGUGGUGGGGACUUGUACUUGUAGGGAUGCUUAGGUGGUGAUGGUGGUGGUGGUGGAGACUUGUAUUUGUAAGGAUGCUUUGGUGGUGAUGGUGGUGGAGGUGGUGGGGACUUGUACUUGUAAGGGUGCUUGGGUGGUGAUGGAGGUGGAGGUGGUGGAGACUUAUACUUGUAAACUGGAGGUGGUGGGGGUGGAGACUUGUACUUGUAAGGGUGCUUGGGUGGUGACGGAGGUGGAGGUGGUGGAGACUUAUACUUGUAAACUGGAGGUGGUGGGGGUGGAGACUUGUACUUGUAAGGGUGCUUGGGUGGUGAUGGUGGGGGUGGGGGUGGCGACUUGUACUUGUAGGGGUGUUUAGGUGGUGAUGGUGGUGGUGGUGGUGGUGGUGGGGACUUGUACUUGUAAGGAUGCUUGGGUGGUGAUGGUGGUGGAGGAGACUUGUACUUGUAAGGAUGCUUGGGUGGUGAUGGUGGUGGAGGUGGUGGAGACUUAUACUUGUAAACAGGAGUUGGUGGGGGAGGAGAUUUGUACUUGUAAGGUUUCUUGUGUGGUGGUGGUGGUGGAGGAGAGUAGAUCGGAGGAGGCGGUGGGGGAGACUUGUAAUGGUAGGGUGGUAGUGGGUUCUUCUUAG